AAAUCAGAAGUGCUAUUUGCUUGUUCAUGGUGAUCACUCCAUCGCUUACAAAAUACCUUCUAAACAAUUUUCAAAAAUUUAAAAAUUUAUUGUAGGCCGAUUUGCAUAAAAAAUUUACUAAUUUUGAGCUUUUGUAAAAAUAGGCCGUCUUAAAAAUUUGGACCGAAUUUUUAACAGACUGAUCAAAAUAUCCUUAUUUUCUUUUCUCUCUUUUUUUUUUCUCUCGUUCUUUUUUUUCUUUCUCUCCGAAGAGGGUGGCAGAGGUGAAGGCGAAGGUGAAGGCGAAGGCCGACAGUCUCGCCCCUUGCCCUCGCCUACCCACCCUUCUUUCGCCUUCCUCAUCUCUGACCCUAUCGAGGCUGUAUCUCGAUCCUUCUUCUUUUUUUUUUUUUUUCUCUCUCCAACCUUUCUCCAUGCCUCCCUGGCUCUUUACAGCAGUAAAAAGGGCAGCGUCACAUCCUCUUUCUCUUUUUUUUUUUUUUCCUUCUAUUCUUUUUUCUCUUCAACCCCCUUCUAUCACCUUCGCGAUCCUUUACGACAAUAACAAGGACAGUGCCGCAUCCUCAUCCUCCGCCUUCAUCGAAGCAGAGCCAAGAAAAAAAUAUGUAGAAAAUAAAAAAAUAAAAAGAAUAAAGAAUAAAAUAUAAAAAAAUAAUUUUUUCUACAAGAAAAAAUGAAGAACCAGAGAGAAAAGAAGAAAACGAUGAAUUUGCACUAUUUUAGAAAAAUGUUGCACUAUUUUAUGGGAACGUUGCACUAUUUUUUAAAAAAAUUACACUCUUUAAGAAAAAAAAAAAUUUUGGAAGAAAAUUACACUCUUUGAAUGAAAGUUACACUCUUUGAAUAAAAAUUACAUUAUUUGACCAAAAAGAGAAGAAAAAGAAAGAAAAAUAGUAUAAUUUUUGCCCAAAUAGUAUAAUUUUCGUUCAAAGAGUGCAAUUUUUAUCUAAAAAGUAUAUUUUUUCUGUCAAAGAGUGUAAAUUUUCUCUAAAAUAGUGCAACGUUUUCUUAAAACAGUGCAACAUUCUCCUGAAACAGGACUACAUUCUUCUGAAAUAGUGCAAAUUCAUCAUCUUCUUCUUUUCUCUCUGGCUCUUCAUUUUUCUUGUAGAAAAAAUUAUUUUUCUUUAUAUUUUAUAUUUUAUAUUUUAUAAUUUUUUUUUUUCUCGGCUCCACUCUUAUCCGUACUUACUCCAAGUCCUCCUUUUCCGACACCGACGUCGGUGCCUACGCCGGCGAAGGCAUAGGAUGAGGACGCGGUGCUAUUCUCGUUACCGCCGUGAAGAAUCGCGGAGGCGGUAGAUGAGGGUCAAAUGUUACCGUCGUGGAGAAUCGCGAAGGUGGUAGAUGGGGGUCGAAGAGAAAAAAAAGAACGAGAGAAAAAAAGGAGAGAAAAAGGACGUGAUGCUGCCCUCUUUACUGUUGUAAAGAGCCAGGGAGGAGGUGGAGGAGGGUCAGAGAGAAAAAAAAAAAAAGAAGAGUUGAGGUACGGCUUCGGCAGGGUCGGAGGCGAGGAAGGCGGAGGAAGGGUGGGCAGGCGAGGGUGAGGGCGGGCAAGACAGAGGCGAGGCAGGCCACCUCUGCUUUUGCCGCUCUUUUCAGAGAGAAAGAAAGAAAAGAACAAGAGAAAAAAAAUGAGAGAAAAAAAAAUUAUUUUGGUCAAUUUUUUAAGAAAAGACGGAGAUUUUUUAUGCAAAUUAGCCUUUCUCUUUUUUGUAUGUUAAUAUAUAAAUUGAAAAAAAAUUAAUAGUUAAGUACUACUUAAAGAAAAAAGAAAAACAUAAACUCCAAAUACCACCCCUAUGGGCUAUGGCCCUAUGAUUUUGUCUUUUCUCACUUUAGUACUCUAUAACUUAAAGUGUAUCAAAUUAGUGUCCAACUUUUCUAUUAAUAUUUUAUUAAAUUUUAUACAAAAAACUUCUGAUAUCUCACCUAAAUUUAUUGAAUAUUCACUUUAGUAUCAUUUAGUUUUAACUUUGUUACUGAUUUAACGAAAAAAAUUAGUAGAAUCGGUAUUAAAAAGAUAAAAAUAAAAUUAUAGGACACUAAAUUCAUACACUUUAAAUCACAAAAUACUAAAGUGAGAAACUAUGAAACUAUAGGGGUAGUAUUUGAAGUUUAUCCUAUAAUAAAAUAAAAUAAAAUAACGUGGGAGAGGCGUGGUGAAAUAGUGAGUAGAGCUCCGCACACGAGCCGUUGAACAUUUCCCUCUCUCUCUCUCUCUCUCUCUCUCUUCCCUCUCUCUCUCUCUCACACGAUCUCCUCCUCCUCCAUUCCCCCUCUCCCCGAUCCCUUCGAAACCCCCAAAUCCCUAAUCCCCAAUCCCACCGACGACGACGAGGAGGAGGAGGAGGAGGGAGGAGCACGAAGACGAUGAUCGCUUGCUCAAUCCCCGUCCCGAUCUCUGCAAUUAGGGUUUGGUGAUCGCUUCCUCAAUCGACUUCGUCGUCGUCUUUGGAGGCGGGGAGGGAGAGGGAGAGGGGGAGGGGGGAGGGGGAGAGAGGGGGAGAGGAUGUCGAAUCAUUUGUACGGGGAGUUCAACCAGAGGAUCGACUACGUGUUCAAGGUGGUGCUGAUCGGGGACUCGGCGGUGGGGAAGUCGCAGCUCCUCGCCCGCUUCGCCCGCAACGAGUUCAGCCUCGACUCCAAGGCCACCAUCGGCGUCGAGUUCCAGACCCGCACCCUCCUCAUCGACCACAAGACCGUCAAGGCCCAGAUCUGGGACACCGCCGGCCAGGAAAGGUCCCAAAUCCCCCAUCAAUCCCCUCUUCAUCCUCUCUUCCCCAUUCUCUACUUCGAUUUCGAUUCUCUUCGUUUGAUGUUCUAUCUAUGAUGUAAAAGUUAGUAGUAGGACUUUGCAGUGUGUAGAUCUUCUUUUUUUUUGUAGACACGGCGAAGCAAUCGAUUAUUUCGAAGUUUGGAGUUUGGUGAAAGCACUGGAUUAUUUGGAAGAAAAUUUGAAUGUGUGCAACAAUGGAUCUGAUGAUAGUCGUAACGUUUGAUUAAACUCGGGAUCGUUGAAAAGUUUGGGGCUUGGUCACAAAAAAGAAAAAAGAGGAGAAUUUGGAAGAAAAAGAAAAAUUCUGUAGUGGUUUGAUAAUAAAGUAAAGUUAGCUAAAUAUCCCAGGAAACGAAAUUAGCAUAAUGGAAAAUUGCCAAUUUCUAUCAUAAAUUUAUGUAGGAAUUUAUCGCAUGGAUCUGGUUUAUAGAGAGGGUGCAGCAACGGAUCUGAUAGGUCGGUAACUCACUGCAGUUGGAACUGAUGGGUUCCUUUUGCCAAUCUGAUAUCUUACCAGCCAGUUAAUUUGUUCUAUUACAUCGGAUGAUUGUGUCUGAUUCUAUAGAAUGGUUAUAAAGAAGCCAUUCUUUGUAGUUCAAAGUGUUCGACAGCUAGUAACUGCAUAUGUGGAAUCAUAAUGUCAUCAAUGAAGAUGUUAAGAUGGAUUGAAAAGAUAAAUUAGGAAAUUAUUGUUGCCUAACAAAAGUCAGAUGCUGGACACAUAGGUAAACUAAGUUGCAGAAAAACUGAUUGAGGAGAAGAUUUUGAGAUUCUCCAUGGAGACGAGAGACUUACCAGUCGAAGUGAGUAAGUGACUUAUAUAAAUAGAAGAUGCCUUUAGAUGAUGGGAGGGGACAAAAUUGAUAUGGGUGGAAAUCACGAGGAUGGACAUGAUAGAACUUUGUUUGACAAAAAGGAUAUUUUCUUAAAUGGAGUUAAGAGAGGACUAUGGCCCACUUGACUGGCCAAAAUACUUGGGAGUGAGGCAAUUAUUAUAUGCUUAAAUAGUAAUUGUGAUAUCAGUUCUUGAAAUCUAAGUAAUAAUCAAUGGCUGCCUUUUUCAUUUUGCUAGUUAAGCUUGAUAUCCAAUUGAAAUCCAAUUGAAAUGUCGUUUUGGAUGAUUUGAGCUAGAAAUCGAUACCAUUUUAAGAUUUUGGAACAACUGUAUCCCAGUAUUCGUCAUUUAUUUCCCUCUGCUUUCUGUUCUGGCAUGGUUCAAAGGAUUUAUAUCAGGAUAUGUAUAGCAUAAUGAUCUUCUAUAACCAUAUCAGAGUUUCAUGAUGAAUCACGUGCUCUUUGAUUGUGCUCUUUUCUGUUAGUAGGGUAUUAAUGGAAGUUCUGCUUGGGUGGUUCUAAUGCCUUGUUGCUCUUAUGAAGAAUGCAGUUUUCUUUCUUUUCUUUUUUUUUUUUCUUUUUGAAAAAUGCUUCCAUAGCAACAUGCUUGUUGGAAUCUGUAUAGCAACAUGCAUACAAAUAGUUUCUUUGUGAUUUCAUGUCUUUUUCUUGAGGAAAGCUUCUAGACGAAUAGAACAUAUUAAUGCUCAUUAGCGAGCCUUUCAAAUUUGGUUCACAGCAGAGUAUCUGAUGGCAACAUGAUUUCCUUCUCCUUGAACGAUAUGUUGAUUUCUAUUUCAAGGGACUAACAACUUCUUUUGUUCUCAUGCUAAUGCAAUCCCAAGUGUGCCCCAUUUGACUUCAAGUCUAUUUUUUGUUUGAUUUUGGUUAGUCCCACAUUUUUAUUCAAUUUAUAUUCUUUGCUAGUUCCAGGCGGAGAUUUUAGUUUUAUCUUGGAAGAGAUGAGAUAGAUUCCCUUUCUGAAGAUUAAGAUAGGGUUAGAUAGGUUAGAUAUUAAAUCAAAUCCCUAAAUUUAGGUAUAUUUCUGGGGAUUAAAUUAGGUCCUUUGUUACGAAUAAAGCCCAUCAAGCUCCAUUGUAAUCAGAGAGAGAUUUUGGAUUAAUGGAGGAUAGGCUUCGUCCCAUCUCUUAUGCCUGUAUGGUUGUCGAAUAGGCUUAUGUAGCCACCUUGUUCUUCCUCUUCUUCUCCUUUUCCUGUCUUCUUCACUUAUUUUCUUCAUCCUCUCCUUUUCCUACAUACUACAGUAACUGCUAUUGUAGUACCCUGCUGCAGUUAUUGCUGCUAUAGUAACUGCACAAAUAGCCACAACACGUAAGAAUGAUACUCCCAAAUGGAGCCUAAGACAUCUGAUUGAAUGACCCACUGCCGACAAUAGACGUGGCAAAAGAUACCCGUGCCAGCAGGUACUUGCAAGUUAUUCAGAAAUUUGCGGGUAUGGUUAAAAACUUUUCUAACCCGAAAAUCUUCUGGUCAAACAGGCAAGUACUCGUAAAUUUUCGGGUUUGCUGGUUGGGUCAUGGGUACCUGCAGGUACCAACGAUCUUUCUAACUUGUAUUUGUAUUUUUCAAACCCACGGUCAGGGUAUUUGCUACCAAAAAAUAGCCAGUAAGUUUUACCUUUGCCCUUCGGACCUGUGAGCACCGUUGUCUGCCUGCAGGUCGCCCGAUCCGCCCAUUUGCCAGGUCUAGCUGACAUAUCCCUAGUUUCAAUAUUGCAGAUUUCACUAGUCGUCCAAUACGGUUGGGAUGUCAAUGCUAAUCUUUUUGAGAGUUGAUUACAUCUGCUUAUUCUCAGAACCUUUUGCAUUGCCAUGCUGUCCGCCUAACAAAAUUUUGUGACGGCAAUGUCAAUUAGGCGCAUGGAUGAAUACCAGUUUUUAUAAAGAGUGAGAAUUGAGAAUUGGGACGGCUGGCUUUUUCUUUUUCUUGUUUUAUAUAUGGAUAAUUUGCUGAUGAAAUUGAGAAUCCCAAUAAACUUUAACCUUCUUAUUAUAAACUCAAACAGUUCUCGCGUUAGUUUUGAAUGAUGUGAUGAUGAUGACGACGACGAUGGUUUAUGAUAGGUACCGAGCGGUGACAAGCGCGUACUACCGAGGCGCAGUGGGGGCGAUGCUCGUCUACGACAUGACCAAGCGCCAGUCGUUCGACCACGUGGCGCGGUGGCUCGAGGAGCUGCGGAGCCACGCAGACAAGAACAUCGUCAUCAUGCUCGUCGGCAACAAGUCCGACCUCGGCACCCUGCGCGCGGUCCCCACCGAGGACGCCAAAGAAUUCGCCCAGCGCGAGAACCUCUUCUUCAUGGAGACCUCCGCCCUCGAGGCAACCAACGUCGAGACCGCCUUUAUGACUGUUCUUACCGAGAUUUACCGGAUUAUCAGCAAAAAAGCCCUUAUAGCUAAUGACGAGCCCGAAUCGGGGGGGAAUUCGAGCUUACUUAAAGGGACCAAGAUCGCCGUCCCCGGUCAGGAGCCCGCCGGUGGAACCAAAUCUAUGUGUUGUACUUAGUAGGCGGCUUUUUCGUCCUCUGAUUGUUUACGCUCUCCCGAGCCCUCGUAGAUCACCCUCUUUUUGUUUCCUUUCCGAAAGGAAGAAAAACAAAAAAGAAAGAAGAAAAAGAAACCCAGCAUUUUCGUUUCUUCGACACCAUUUUCUGUAACUUAAUUCGAUUUCGAAACUGUAAGAACCAUGAAGCAGUGGUUGUUCUUUCUUGUUGUUAGUUCUAUCAUAUACAGACAUGAUGAAAAUUUUGCGCCGCCUUUCGACUUGCUUGUUCUCAUCUUCAGUUGCAUUCUUUUCGGCCUCUUUUUCGCCUGUUUUUCAUUUGCUUCAUACCUAAUAAUACUGUUUGGAGGUGUUAUCGGGUCGGGUUGAAUUAGGUUCGGGUAUUACCGAUACCGACACCUCAAUCCAUGAUGAUAAUAAAUAGAGAAGCUGUUCCAAAAGGCAGGUUACUGCAGUACUCGUGCAUUGGUAGAACUCUUUCUUAGAUUUUAAUUCUCAUUAUAUUUUUUUUUCUGAAUAAUUUAUUACGACUCAAUUAUAGCUGAUGCGUACGCUCAGAAAUUAUUUUAAUUUGGCCAUUAAGGUCUCAAAAUUUUAAUUUUACUACACAACCUUUCAAUUAGUUUGAUUUGAGUUGGUCAACGAUAUUUUGACUUCAAAUUUUAAGCAAAUUACUUAUUUUAAUAAAUUUAUAGCUACGGAAAUUGUAUAAAAUAUACUAACUAAAGUUGUAAAGAUAAACGACGCAUUCAAAUUUGAAAUCAAAGAUUCAUUAACUUACUCGAGUCGGACAAAUUGAAAUGUUGGAUAGUGAGAUAAAAAAUAGUCCGGAGUUGUUCAUUUAAAUUUUACAUGUUUUUAUCUUUUAUAUUUUUAUGACCUGCAAGUAACCGACUAUAGAAAAUUUUAAAAUAGACCUCUCAACAUUCCUUCUAUAACUUUGAUUAUUAUUAUUAUUUAAGUUAUUCUAAUUAGUAAAUCGAAAUUUUUGUCAAAUUUAAUAACGUUUUAGCUGUUAGUUAUUAAUUAUUCUAAUUUAUUGGCUACAAAAAGUGAUUAAAAAUUAUUGAUGAAUUUAUGGUUGCAUUAAUUAAGCUAUCAUAUGUUAGUUAUCCUAAUUUCAUUUACUAAAAAAAUAAUAAAAGUGUCUUGAUAAAAUUAGAAAUCAGUUUGACAAAAAAUUUUAAACUCUACUUAAAUUAAAUCGUUUAUUUAAAAAAAAAAACUAGAUAUUAAAAUAAUCGACCCAAACAAUAAAUAAUUAAUUAAUUUCGAUGGCUGUGUUUCAAAGUAACCAAUAGUUGAGGGGUCCCCAUGCAUUUUUCUAAAAAAAAUAAUAUAAUUAUAAUUAUAAUUAUUAUGCUCUCUAUCAUUUAUGUGUAUCUAUAAAUAUCUCUCUCUCUCUCUCUAGGAUUUCUAUUUCUCCCGCGACAACGACGACGACGACGACGACGACGACGAAGAGACUCGAAGAGGGAAAACCCUAAUUAGGGUUUGGAGCUGCUUCGAUCCCUGGAGUUAGGGCUCGAUUCUCGGAGUCGGGGGGGGGGAGCAAUUUCCCCCGAAACAAUUUCGCAUCGGAUUCGUAGAAUCUAGGAUGCGAAUGGAUCGAGAGGAGGUACCUGAUGCGGCGGCGGGGAAGGGCGGCGGCGGCGGCGGCGGCGGGGGGAAGCGCGGCGUGCAGAAGCUGUUCAAGGCGGCGUUCAAGCGCGGCGACGCGUCGGCGGCGCGCGUCACGGCGUGGGGCGGCGGGGACGAGUCGGAGUCAGCGCGGUCGGGCUCCAGCUCCGGCUCCGGCUCCGGCUCCGGGUCCAGCUCCAGCGGGGCGGCGCGGCGCCACCGCAGGGCGAGCCACGACGACGAUCGCUCCUCAGAGCGCCACAGCGGCGAGCUCGAGGGUACGUACCCAUGGCGCAUCCGCAUAGCAAUUCGCUUUAUGCGGGCCCUCGUCUCUUCGUCUCCGUAGAGUAGUGUUUCUCCUCCUCUUUUUUUUCUUUUUUCUUUUUUCUUUUUCCUUUUUCCCCCCUUUUUUUCGCUUAUAUUAUUUGCGUAAUUAAUUAUAAGAGGGCAUUAAGAUUAUUAUUAUUAUUAUUAUUAUUAUUAUUAUUAUUUAAAUUUUAGUACUAAUUUUUGACUUGAAGAUUUUAUAGUUUAAUUUAGCUUAAAAUUUUUAUUAAAUCUAAUGACUUAAUUAGCUAUUAGCAUUUAAUUAAUUCAGUUUAAUUCGCUAUAAAGUAGGUUCAUCUAUCAAAUUUGAUGAACAUGUCAAUCAAUUUGGUUAAUUUUUUUUAAUUUAUUAGGCUAAAAUCACUUUAUUCUAAAAAAAAUUAAAAGUUGAUUGAUAUAGCCCCCUUAAUUUUUUUUAAAUUUUUUUUUUAAGUCCGUACUUUUUUUAACUUUUAAUUUUUGGAAAUUGAAUGUUUUUAAUCAAACAAAUUGAAGUUUUUUUUUUUUUUUUUUCAAUUUUAUCAGUAAUUUAAUCUAUUUAGUAGUUUCGUUAUUUCCAACCAAUAAAAUUGGACCUGCUAAUACUAAUAGAAUCAUUAAAUUUAACAAAAAUUUCAAAUUCAACUAUAAAUUUCACCCUUUUUUUUGCAGAUAAACCCUUUACAAAUUUUGUUUUACACCAUUAAUCCUACCUGCAUGCAUGGUACAAAUUGAGGGUAAAUUGCAUUAAACUUACUUUAAUAAAACUUAUCUUAAUCAUAGACCAUUAAUUUUGAUUUUACUGUCCAAUCUUUUAAUUUGUUUGAUCUGAGUUAGUUAAUAAUACUUUAAUUUCAAAUUUUAAACUAAUUAUUUACUUUAAUGUACUUACAGUUGGAAAAAUUAUAUUUAAUAUACUAACUGAACCUGCAAAGAUAAAUAACAUAUUCAAAAUUUAAAAUUAAAGUGCCGAUGACCGUCUCAAAUCAAACAAAUUUUAAAAGAUUGGAUAACUAAAUCAAAAUAGUUCAUAAUUUAGGUAAAUUUUGUACAUUUUUACCUAUAUUUUAGACGUGCCAUGCAUACACAUAAGUCUCCGCCUAUGAACAGGACAUUUUAGUGACUUGGUCUAUAUAAAUAAAUACACAUAAUAGUUUCUGCAAAUAUGAAAUAAAGUAGGUGGUGUGUCUCUAUCCUGCUGUCUAUAAAAACUUAGUUAUUAUUCAUGUCCACACUUAUGAUCAAGUAUUUUGACCUAGUUUUGGAUUCACUUGCACAAAUAUUCUUCCAGAAGUAUUCUUCCAGACCUAGUUUAUCUUAAGGAUUAUAAUGUUCCCUGCUUUUUAUAUAUAUCUAUUGCAAGUAGUAGUUAAUGCAAUAAGGCUCAGAUAAUAAAGGCUAGGGAUGCUAUACUCUUAUGAGUAUGGACCCUUUUAUAUUCAUAAAUUUUCGACAGUUGGUUGAAGGGAUGUGUGGUUAGAAUGAUAGUGAUCCCCUAGGAUUGAGUAGGUGGUUGGUUAAUUAGAAUGAUCUAGUGGGUGAAAAUGAUAAAAGGGGUAGAUGUAAUGGCCGAAAACUUAUGAAUAUAAAGGGAUAUAUACUCAUAAGAGUAUAGUAGUUGGACUCCAGAUAAUAAUAUGUUUAUUGCUCAGUUGAUUUCUUUAUAUUUAAAAUUGCGUCGUGAAGAUAUGGUAAUUGCUGGCACAAAUGAUAUAAGCCUAUCAUCCAAAGUAAUCUCAAACUAGAACUUCUGAUCAAGAAUUUGAGUGCCGUGGCACGAAAUUGUACCGGAAACUUGCCGGUACGGUAAGAUAUGGUGUGUGCCAGAUUGUGCCGAUACGUGUCGAUCACAAAAAAUAUAUGUGUGCCGACACGUAAUGGCAUGAAAUAUUUAAUUUUUUUUAACAACAAAAUAUCCAAUUGUUUAUUAUAUAUUUUUAUCAAAUCUUUUGAACUUUAUUGAGAAAAUUAGUUACUAAUUUCAAGAAUACAGAGUUUUGAGUUAUGCCAUCGGCACAGGUCUGUAUUGUGCCAAUAUCUUGCUAGUACGAUAGAACAUGGUAAAUACGGCCCAUGCCAAUGUGCAUUUUAAUUCUUGCUUCUGAUAAUCUCAAAUUUUGAUUUUGUCUCUCUACCGAGGUAUAGUUUUUCGUUUGAUUAGAUUUUACCUCCCAUAAAAUAAUUCCUUAUAUUGUAUUAAAUUAAUCCUGCAUCAUACUCUGAUUUGCUCUUAAUUUAAUUAUUACUGCAUUUUUCUAGCAUCUUAUGUUUAUUCUACAAAAAAUACUAGCAAUUUGGCUCAUAAAGAAUGAUCUGCAUUUAAUUCAAAAACUAUUGAUGUACUUGCUCGUCACAAUUGCGAUGUAACCUAUUUUUAAUCUAAAAGAGUGUGUUCAAAACCAAUUAUAAUCCCUUAUAUAAAACCUUUCACAAUUAGAAAACAAUAGGUCGAAUGCGCAUCGGAAUCCCUAAUUCUCAGAUCCAAGGAAGUAUAAUUAACCUUUCAUUAAUUGUUAAUAACUGAUUACUUAGUCAACUACAAGUGCAUUAAACUAGUAGUUAAUUGUUCUAAUGACCAACUUAAACUAAUAGUGGGGUAAAAAGCUUUUAGAUGUUCUACAGUGUCAUCUCAUCUCAGUUUAAUCUAACAGUCACAAAUUUUGGUUUUGGAACACCCUUUUUCACCCCCUUUUACUUCUUGUGAAAAAGGUUCAAAUGGCUCAAAGCUGCUGCUCGCGCUGCGGAAUGCGAAGAUCCAGUAUGCGAACGAGCCGUAUCCUUGGGAGAGGAAGAUGCGGGAGCUUCUGCCUCUGCCGAGCUCGAGCAGCUUCCUCUCGCUGCUGCUCCUCCCGAAAGCUUCUGAUCCAUCCGCAUCGCACUACAACUCGCUGGAGGAUACGUUGGCACGGGCCGAUACAUGGCUCACGGCGUCGCAGGCAUCCGGCGUGCCCAUCAUGUUCAUGAAUGUUCAAACCGAGGCCCUGCUCACAAAGGUAAAUUAUUUGUUCUUCGAGCCCUCAUUCUAAUAUAGAGUUUGGAUCGGCGUUCAUCGAAAUGAGUAUCUAAACUUUGCCGAAUCUCACAUCGCACGAUAGUUCAGAUAAGAUUUGUAAGUUUGUAUCUACUUGUGAAUCAAUCAAAUGCUGAACUGAAGAGCCGUAGUUGCUUCUUGUUCUUUCUUGUUCAUAGAUCUCUGGAGAAACCGCGUCGUCGACGGUGAACAUGGGAUCGCCGGCAGAUAUGGCGAACAUGGCGAACGUGAGCCUCUACGGGUUCGAGGACUACCACGGGGUCGACAUCGGGGUGGUGCGGGCGGUACGGCUGUGGUACACGCCCGUCGCCGGCGAGACCGAGCUGGAGAUCACGCUGCAGCAGGGCGACACCAGGCUCGGCUUCGCCAUCAGCCGCACUGACGAGGUACGCCUUUACUGCCUUUCCGUGCAGAAAUUUCUGAAAAACUCUUGUGCAUGCCAACAUCUGUUAGAUGUUUAGGUCAUUGCAGGGUAAGACUCUACCAUUGAAUUUGAGUGUAAAUUUUUUCACUGAGCUCUAAUUUGUCACAAUUGAUGUACCAAAAUGCGACAUUUGUAAACAAAACAGUAGUCGUAAGAUGAUGUGACAGUUAAAUUAAUUUAUUAAUAAAUCAUCUGUCUCUUUCUAUCUCUCUUUCAGAAACACACAAAAAAAAAAAAAAAAAAUCAUACCCUAAAUAGAUUCACUUUUGAUAGAAGUAGAUUAAAUUUAUUAAAUCAGGUCAAUCCAGCUGGUGAAAACCAGGACGAUUAUUUCUGAUGUGCUGAUAAAUUUAUAUAAUAUUUUUAAUUCUAGUUUGGAAUUGUGUUUUAUUACUGAUGUGUUGAUAAAUUUAUAUAAUAUUUUCAAUUCUAAUUUAGAAUUGCAUUUUAAAAGCACCCGUUUCUAUACAUUGAGAAAGAUUUAAGAUAUCCAAAUCAACUAGGCCUUUUUCCUUUCUAAUUUUAUGAUUAUUUAUUAUUAUUGGAUAAAUUACAGAAAAUCUCCGGCAAAUAUCCGCAUUUUCACUUUUUCUCUUUGGCUUUCAAAAAUAUAUAUUUUGCCUCCUUAAAAUUUUAAAUUAUUGCAUUUACACCCACCCACCCCUCACCCGACGAUCUGUCCAUUUUUUAUAAUUUAUAUCGAAAAUGUCCUUCAAAAUAAUAUGAAUAUAUUAAACAAAAUUUUGUUUAUGGAAGAAGUAAGGAUAAUUUGAUCAUUUUGCUUUUUCCAUUAACACUGUAUUUUUUAUGAAAAUACUUCUGUAAUUUUAUAGGGGCAAAAUAUAAAAUUUUGAAAGAUAGGAAGUAAAAGUAAAAAAAAAAAGAGAUAUUUAUAGGAGAUUUUUUUGUAAUUUAGCUUUAUUAUUGUGAUAAUAAUUAAAUUAAACUAAACAAAAUGGGAGAUGAAUCCGUAUGCUAGGGUUUCAUCUACGUGUCGUCGGUGGCGGAGGAGGAGGCGGCGGCGGCGGCGAGCUCCGGGACGGCGGCGGCGCGGUCGGGGCUCCGGGAGCUUUUCCGGGAGGCGCGGGGCGCGUCGAAGCUGCUGGUGAUCUCGCGCGUGGGGGGCGCGAAGGUGCUUCCGUGGAUGGUCUCGACGUGCGGCGCCGUCAAGUGCUUCGACACCGUCUCCCUCAGCCAGAAGCUCUCCCUCCACCUCCACGCCCUCCUCCCCAUCCGCCUCCACUUCCUCCUCUGGGCCCCCCCGCCGCCGGAGCACCCUGUCAACCGGGAUGAGCUCGAGCUCUCCUCGGGUUGUGCGGCUCCUCUGGGCCCCCCCGCCGCCCCCGCCGCCUCCCUCCUCUCCGGAGGAGGAGAGGGGGUUAGGGUUAGGGUUAGGGUUAGGGUUGGGCUUGGAGCGGGACUCGGUGGGGGACGCGUCGUUCAGGUUCCAGAACAUCUCGCUCCCGGAUAGCUGGGUGUAGUAGAGAGAGAGGCUCGGCUUCUUUUUUACGAAUACACCCCUGGAAACACCAUCUAUUUGCGCAGGUACCCUUCCCACUUCAAAAAAGUCCCACCAGGUCAAAAAAAAAAAACGAAAAGAAAAUUAAUUUCAUACUGGUCCCUACAAAUAUAGUGAAUAAUAAAUUUAUUGCUGCAAAGUUUAACUUUUAUAUGUUGUUCUCAUAAAAGUUCUGGUAUUUUCAAAUAUAUCCCUACCGUUAGAAAAUUUAGUUAAUUAUAGAUUAAAUACUUAACCUUGGUUAGUUUUUAAUAUUUUUACCUCUCUUAUAUUAUAUGUUAUGAUUUUUGAAGGAACAUAUUUGUGAUGGCAAAAUUGAAAAUAUAAACGGUUAUCUAACCGUUCUCUAACAGUAACAAAUCAGAGUGAUAUAUUUGAAAAUAUUAAAAUUUUUAUAGGGACAACAUAAGAAAGUUGAACUUUUGUAGAGAUGUAUUUGUCAUUCACUAUGUUUGCAGAGACCUGUAUAAAAUUAAUCCAAAAAAAUAUACUGAGACACACUCAACUGUAGCAUAUUGUGAAAUAGGUCCCUCAAUCUCGGAUCAAAUUCAUAAACGGUUUUCAUGAAAUUUGAUGAUUUUAAUCUCUUUUUUAGCAAACAAAACUUAGAAGAAUCAGUAACUAGGUAGCUGCGAAAAAAAGAAAAAAUCGACUUUACUAACUAGAAAAAUGUCAAAUUUAAAAAAAAUAAAUAUAUAAACUUGAGGGAGCUAUUUUAGAAUAGCCUAUAGGUGAGGGGGGUCUCGGCCUCUUGGGGACUUUCCAUUUAUUAUGACCAAAUAAUUGAGGUGUUCAUGUAUACUCCUUGUUGGAAAAUAAAGUUAAACUUUAGUUUUGUACAAAGAAAAUAAAAAUGGGAAGUGAAAAUUUUUGGAUUUUGAAAGGGUAUACCUGUAAUUAUCUGAUGAAAAGUAUAGUAAGUCUAAGUCUACAGGGAUGUAUCUUUACAAUAAUAAUAAUUAUUGUUAUUAUUAUUAUUAUUAUUAUUAUUAUUAUUAUUAUUAUUAUCUGCAUAAAAAGCUGGAGAGUUGAUGGUUGAUGUGUGUGCAUGUGAAAAUCCUCAAUGUUGUGAAUUGGAAUGGUUACUUUUUUUGAAUAUAUCUAUACUUGUUAAAAUUUAGUCCCAGGUUUCCCAAACUUAGAACUUGUUGUUCCUCUGCUUUCCGAUGGACCGCCGCAUAAAUUAUAGAGAGGAUUCAUUCAUUCAACAAAGAGCAUGUUUGUUUGUUUUACUGGGAUCGGAUGUGGUCGGAACUUCACUAGUCGGGGCUGAUGCUCACAGACCGUAUGCUUUCAAAUCACUCUCUGCGUCUGAUCCGUAAGUUUGUUGGUCGGCCUCCUGCGAACGUCCGCACUCGCGGUUCGGCGGGGUGAGGGACUUCGGUGUCGGAGAUCUUGUCAUCAAGCACACGCACUCAGCCACCGCAGUACCAAACCAGGCCAAAGUAUCAAUCAAGCUUCAACCCGAAUCCAGUCCGAAAAACUUCUCGAAGCUUCUGCCGCAAGACACUCGUGGGCCGGCCCACCUGAGCCCAUCCCAAUAUAUGUAAAAAUAAUAAUAAGAAGAAAAAUAAAAACCCCAUUUCCGAGGCUUAGGGAUAUCAACGGUUGGAUUCAGCGCGGAAUUUCAAAAAUAUGAAUCCAAACCCUGAACCUAAAUCCGAAACAAGAACCUGAAUCCAUCCAAUCCUAAUAGAUUUUAAAAAUUCAUAUUCAAAUCCGAACCUGGCCAAAAAUUCAAAAUCCGAAUCCGAACUCAAAACAAUUAUUUCUCUUUACAAUAUUUCAAAAAAAUGCUAUAUUAAACCUAAAUUUUUUAAAUACAAAUUCAAAAAAAAAAAUAAAUAAAUAAAUAAAUAAAUAUAUAUAUAUAUAUAUAUAUGAGUUCCGCUACUAUAUUCUUAUAAGUAUAGGUCUUCGGAUUCGGAUCCUGAUAAUCUUUCAGGCAUCCGCAACCGCUGACAUCCCUAAUCGACGCGCCAAAACGCCCCCCCUCUCUCUCUCUCUCUCUCCUUCGCCAUUGUCAUCGUCGUGUUCCCAAAUGGUAAUCGCUCCCUCCUCUCUCUCUCUCUCAUGGGAAAGUAGGGUUUAUGUUCAUGUAGGUGGAUUACUAGUUUGCCUUGUGAAUCUAGCUCGAUGAGCGGCAUCGGAUUUUAUAGUUUCUAAUCUAGAAUUUCUUGUUCUCAGUGUCGGUUCUACACUUUCGAUUGAUUCAGAUCAUUAGGGUUUUUUUCCCCCUUUGUGUGUGUGUGUGUGUGUGUGUGUGUGUGUUAGCUCCACUUUUUUCUGAAUCCAGUCGUGAAGGGUUCCUUUAGAUGUGAGCUUCAGGGUCGGUUGAUGUUAAUUAGUGUUCUCAAAAUUGUUGGGAGGUGGACCACUUGUUGAUCUAAGUUCACACUAUAAUUGAUUUGUGUAGCAAAAAUAAUAAUAAUAAUAAUAAUGUAAUUGGGGCACUGAUUUGAAUGGAGCAAGGCAACUGGAGGCAUUCUUGUUGUUUAGUGUUUACAUAGUGCAAAUUAAUACGUUACGAUCGCUGUGUGUGUUGUGUUGGAUUCUCUUUGUUUGGGUUUUUAAUUUCAUGGAGUUAAUAACCCUACCUGUGAACAAAACAGAGCAACUUGAUUGAUUUUCUUUCUUUUUUUUUUUGGUUUGUGUUUACAUUCAAUGGCACAAGUGAUAUCUUUUGAUCAACACCACUAGUAUGGUUGUUUGAGCAGGAUGCAUUGUCACAGAACUACUUCACUACUGAAACACUCAUAGAAAGAAAUUUUAUUACGUACCGUAUUAUCUUAUUGGUCGAGGGCAACGAGCACCAAGCCAGUGUCUUGCUUACGUAGUUUUUUAACUUUUCAGAAGUGUAGAACUCUUGCAAGUAAUUCGGGCCAACUUCAUGUCUGUACGCCUAGUUUCUUUUCUUCCACGUGAUAUUCGUGUUAUUCAGUUGCAUUUUGAUGUUUACCUUGGCCAAUCUUGCAUAUUUUGCAAACUUGUAAACUCUUUAGUGUGGAAUUACGUACAAAGAUCUAAACAUGUUAUAUGAGAAAGAUUAGAUUGUAUGCACCAAGUUUAUUUUCUAAUGUUCUCUCAUCUUCAGUAUCAGUGUUUUUAUCAUUGAAAAAGUUGUUCAUAUUUCUUCUGAAGCAAAUAUAGGAAAUCACCCGUUAGCUGUUAUGAAGUUCAAUAACAUUUAUGUCUAGUCGUUUGGAAUUUUCCAUCUAAAGAACUUAAAUUAGUAUUCUUGAAGGUUUAACUGGUGUAUAUUUUUUGGUGCUUCAUGUUGCUAGCACCUGGCUAGCGGCCACCUUGAGGAUCUUUUAUCUCCGGUUUGUCACUUUGUUCUGUGUCCUCUGUGUUAUGUGGAACUGAUAACUCUACCUCUUUACAUAGUCGAAGAAAAGAGGGCUUUCAUUGGAGGAGAAACGUGAACAAAUGCUUCAAAUAUUUUAUGAGUCUCAGGACUUCUUUCUCGUGAGUUCUCCAGUUGAUUAUUUCUUAAUCUUAUUGCUUUGUUUACAUGUAGUAUUUUGCAUUCUUGGUUUUCCUACAACAGGUUAGCUAACCUAUGCUAUUCUAUGUCUAGUGGCACCACUUCAAAUGCAUGUGAUGCGCAUAUAGUUAGCUAUUUCUAUGACAAGAGAAAGCAUGUUAUAACCAUUAGAUUGAAGUUAAUACUAUUAAGAAGUUACAGGCAAUAUCUUGCUUAUCCAUGUUCUUCAUCAUAAAAAUGUUUGUGUAAUGAACUGAUUAUUUGCAAGUUGUCUUAAGUCACUGUGUUUCCCUAAAGACUAAUGUUGGCCAAUUUUACUAAACUAGCUCUUCAACUCCUUAUGGAAGCUAGUUGUCGUGAUUUUUUUCUUGCACAAUUGAGGUCCUUGGCUCUUUGAAGUUGCUGCAGCUGAUAUGAAAUUGAGAUAUCUUUCGCAAAGUUUAAAACGGUAGUAAACUAGAAAUAGGGAAAAUAUGCAUUUGGAAUAUAAUUGUCAUGAGUAGAGACAUCAAGAUUGAUAAAAUAAUUAUCCUUAGUGGUCAAGUACUUUCUUUCACUAUCUUCGAUUUAUUAUGUUCCAUGAUAUGAUUCCCUCAAAAAGUGGUCGUACGUUGGGCGCAAGUAUUUUUGUCAAUUGUUCAUUUUUAUAAUUGCAUAAUCUGGUCCUUUUUGUUGUUUAACAAGAAAGAUAAGUUGACUAGUACGCCAUGCAUAUAGUUAGAUUAGAACAGGUAACGGAGGAUUGCUCUUGUGAUUAUUGUGAUUGUCUUAUACCGUGAUUGUCUUAUACCUCGAAGGUGAGAGGGAAAUUUAUAAGACAAGGUUAAGACUAGUGAUGUUUUAUGGAUAAAAAAUUGAGCAACUAGGAAAACACUGUAUGCCAAAAAAGGUGUAAACUAAGAUGAGGAUGUUGCGUAAAUAUGUGGUGUCAAUACAAAAGUCAUAAAAGAAUGAUUCUAUCUAGAACACAAAUUAGGUUAAGUCCUUAAUGUAGAUAAGUUACAUAAAAUUAUGUGAAAUUGUGAACAGAGCUCAGAUGAUGCACAACAGAAUGAGAUGAGCUAAUUCAACUAUAAGGUGCUCAAAGAGGGCAGAAAGACCAAAUCAGCAUUAGAAGAAAUAGCUAGAAGACAUUACACAGUUGAUUUAACAUAGAAUCUUACCAAAAACUGAACUGGUUGGAGAAGUAGGAUUGAUUAUAGAAGACUUGUAACGCUUGGACUAGUAGUUGUUCUAUUUUUGUGCACCCCUGAAUACAAACUUAACUCUAAACACUUGCAGGUACAUAUAAAAGAAUAAAAUUAAUUUAUUCAAUUUUUUUAACCUUUAAUGCCAGAGGAAUAAUUUUCUUCUCGCAGAAAGGUACUUUUUAUGAUUGAUUUCUUAUCUAAAUUUUGGGUUGUCUCUACUCCAAUAGUUAUAUCAUAAUAUGUACUGGAUUAUUCAUAUGUUAUAUCACAUAUUUAAGAUAUUGCUUCUCCACAAACCGAAAAGAAAGAUAUUGUUUCUUUGUUCUGCUUUAAGUGCAAAUACAAACAUGCUUCUUUCUUCUUUAAUUCAGCUAAAAGAGUUGGAGAAACUGGGGCCCAAGAAAGGUGUGAUUAGCCAGUCUGUCAAGGAUGUUGUCCAGAGUUUAGUGGAUGAUGACCUUGUUUUGAAGGAUAAAAUAGGCACUUCUGUGAGUUUAGCUUUAUUUAUAUUGUGCUCAAUCUGCAUCUCUACUAUCUCUUUUGACAGCCUAUGAUCAAUGUUGCCACUCCUGUGAACAUUAGUUUAUGACAUAUUGUUUAAUUCUGAUUAUUUGACUAGUUUAUCCUUCUCUAUUGAACCAUCACAUGGAAGCUUUUCAAUUCAAAUUUCUUAAAUUACAAAAUAUAGUGUGUAUGAUCAUUCACUGGUACCCUUUUUUCUUUCAAUGUUCUUUUGUUUUAUCAUGUUGCAAAACUUACUAGCACUGACUUGCAGGUCUAUUUUUGGAGUCUUCCUAGUUGUGCUGGAAAUCAGGUAUUACUUUCAAUUUUUUAAAGUUUGAAUAUUGAUACCUCUUUUCCAGGUAUUACUUUCAAUUUUUUAAAGUUUGAAUAUUGAUACCUCUUUUCCAUUUUGAAGGUCUUAUUCAUCCUUUUGGAUUUUUUUUUUUGAAGUUGAGGAGCGCUCGCAACAAGCUGGAAUCUGAUCUUUCCAGCAGUAGGAAGAGAUUCAAGGAACUCAUUGAACAGAGGGACAACUUGAAGAAAGGCAGGGAGGAAUCUGUAAGUCUACCUGACAGACAUAUUAAGUUGCAAUUUUGAUUAAUUCUAUAGGGAAUUCGUAAGACUGUAGUCCUAAAUUUCUGUCCACAUAUUUUCGCAGGAUGAGAGAGUGGCUGCCUUGGAAGAGCUAAAGGCUGUUGAAUUACAACAUAAGAAGUUGAACGUAACUAGCUAUACAUACUCUAUCCUCCGACUUUGAAAGUACGAAAAUUUACUAGAGCUGAAAACAAUGUUACUUUAUAGGAAGAACUGGCCUGCUAUGCUGACAAUGACCCUGCCGCACUAGAAGCACUGAGUAAGAGAUCUGUUGUUUAUAUCUUGUAUUGCUUGUACAUCUUUCACUUGUUGCUGCUUGCAUCUGAAUAUGUAUUUUGUGCCUCACUUUUUGAUGUCCUUUAAUUUCUUCUUGGCGGAACCAAUUUAUGUAGCUCUCUAAAUCUAGGGUUUUCUUUUUUUAUUUUUGAUUGGCAGAAAAUGCAAUCGAGAUUGCCCAUUCGGCGGCUAACAGAUGGACAGGUUUCUUUCUUACUUGUUAACUCUUAUAUUGUGGACUUCUCUAUCUGCAUUCUUUAUUUUAUGUUAUAUGAGGCUGAAGCUUCUCACUUGGCAUUUCAGACAACGUUUUCACCCUACAGCAAUGGUGUUCAACCACCUUUCCGCAAGCUAAAGAGCAACUUGACAACAUGUACAAGGAGGUAGACAAUUCUUUCCUUUUCACCUUGCCCGCACUUAUAUAUAUAUAUAUAUAUAUAUAUAUAUAUAUAUAUAUAUAUGCUCUUUUCAAACCUGGGACAUGCACAUAGACAAAUCUACUGUUUUAAAGAAGUGAUAGAUUUUCUCUCUUUGCGCAAAUAUGUGGAUGGUUAAUUUUGUCUCAUCACAUUUCGGAGCGUUUAUUUCCGUCUUAAGAUUAUUAGAGUAAAUUGUGCUAUACUAAGUUAUUAAUUCUUGAUAUAAUUAGCGAGGCUGCUUUUCAUAUGAUCUUUUCUUCAGAUUCUAACAUCAACAGCAUACUCAAGUUUUACCUGAACUGUGUCCAUUAUAAUAUCUUGUACCCUGUUUCUUUUCAUUUAAUGCUUCGACUCUGCUUUUGUUUAGCAUAAGACAAGUCUCAAGGUACUCGUUAUCUGCAUGAUAAAGAAGAGAAUACAUAUCAAUCAGUAUCGAAACAGAUUAGUUAUUAGCAUGAUCUCAUGUUGUUCGUCUUUAGAACGUUGGCCUUCGUUCUCAAGAAGAUUCAGUUCUGCCGAUCUUAUGGACUAGAAACUCACUUUUUUUCUCUUUUGGAUAAACAAAAUAAGAAAUCCCAUCCCUUUAUUUUUAAUUCAAUGCGAAUCCCUUCAACAAUGCAGGCAGGCCUAACUGAAGAUUUUGAGUAUCUACAGUAAUGGAUGGUCUACAUAAACUCCACAGAGAAAGGCUUAGCUACUCAGAUAUGUGUCUUCCAGCUUCUCCUGUAAAUAAGCGGAUGUAUGCUUUGCUAUGCCCACUCUGCAUUGAAAAUCUAUUUUCCUUCACUUGUGAUUUGCAGUGAAAAUACCAUCUGCUGAGUUAGCCAUGUCAUUUCCUUUCCUUUCCUGUUUUGAAACUCUGCGGUAUCGAAGCACGCCUUUCGUUUAAAUCUUUGAGACUCAUGAUCUGGUAUAUUUGAACUCUCUGGAUUUUAAAUUUUAUAAUUUUUCGGCAACAUUUAGUUAGUAUUCAAGUGGUUCAAAAAUGAGCCAUUUUUAAUGGCUGAUAUGAGAUGAAUUUUUUACAACACUCAGAUCACCAGGCAAUUGAUGUCGCAAAAUCAUGAAAUUCGGUUUGUGCGAUGUAAAUCAUGUUUAAUGGAGCCGAUCGUGAAUUCGGAUGCUUCGUUUACAUAAGAUGGAUAGCAUGCUUUUGGGCUGUUGUUUGUGAUCAAAAUUCGGAAACAAAGCCCAAACUGGCCCAGGUUGGGGUAUUUCCACUCUUCCUAGUUCCUAAUCUCUCUAACAUAAACACUACACAAACAAGUCAUUUUAAUAUGCUUGCAUAUUUAAAAAUCACUAUCAAAUAUACUUGAAAAUAGAUCAUAAGACCACCCAAUGCACAUUGAAAUUUGGAUUUAAUUCACUUUAUUAUAAUUGUCAACGCUCCUGCGAAUAUAUAUAUAUAUAUAUAUAUAUAUAUAUAUAUAUAUAUAUAUAUAUAUAUAUAUAUAUAUAUAUAUUCNAUAUAUAUAUAUAUAUAUAUAUAUAUAUAUAUAUAUAUAUAUAUAUAUAUAUAUAUAUAUAUAUAUGCAUUCCUGAGUUGACUUGCUCAGAUUUCAUUAUACAAUUAAGCAUUAUGAAAUUAUGUAAGGUCAAUUAACAUGAUUUGGUCCUAAUAAACUCAAAUUUUUACGACAUUUUAAUCGGUUGCGUGGGGAUAACUACCAUUUGUGAUGGGGCUUGAAAUUUUUUUUUUUAAGCUUUAAAAAAGUCAACUGCAUCAUUAACUAAUUGGCUUUCCCUUAAUAAACUAGCGUAAAUUAUGGCGAAGGUAGUGGAUUUAAUUAACUAAUGCAAAUGUAUAUUGUUUUGAGGUAUAAAAGGUGUCCUUUUCAGCAUUAAGUAGGAGAUGUUCUCUUUUUUUAAAUACUUUUUUCUUAAAAAAAAGGGUAGUGUAGAGAUUGUUCUUUACACUAAACCAAGAUUUUGGAAAACUACACAUUAUUUAAUUAUAAUAUAUAACAUAAAAAUAUUUCAACAUGUAAAUAACUUAAAACACUAUUUUUUAUACUUUCAUAUCAAACAAACAGAGAUUCAGCAACUAAAGAAAGAUCGAUUCUUUCGGGAUCCUUCCUUUCUUCAAACAGAACGAACAAAUAUAAGAGUCACAUAUCAAUCCUUAUCGAUCUCUCACAUCUACGCACUCGAAACUUGUUGAUAGAUACAGAACCAAUAGAUGUUCUUGACCUAAGUGCGAGAAAAUUAAAACAAGGCUCAAAGUCUUAUGUGUGACAAACUCUAUAUUGUUUUGCUCUACAAUGUGAAUUAACUGUUUAUCCAUAAAAGUUUUUUUUUUUUGAGAGAUAGGUAGCACGCUACCCGCUUCAUUUAUUUCAUUUAGAAAUAAACUUAGCUAGAAAUGUGAAUCAACUAGGAUUCAAAUUUGGGACCUCAGGUAUCAAUCACCAAGCCCUGUGUAACUAGGAUUCGAACUUCGUUUAUCCAUAAAAGUUGAAGAUAAAGAAUAGGAUCUUUCUUAGAACAAGAGCACGCAAAAUUAUGACAUGUUUCAUAGAAAACUGCAAACAAACAUAAGAUGACAAGAAAAAAAAAAAAAAAAAAAAACUGAAUUAACCAAAACUACUGCAUUACUCUUCCAAGUUCCAACACAAAACAACACAAAAUGUCACCUCAACCAAUCAAUGAAUCUAGCUAAGGUCAGAAACAUCCCCCAAGCAAAAUGUUUGUCAUGGACUACUACCUGAAAUCAACUUCAGCUCCAAACCCUAAUAAACAAAUCUAGCACAUAUAUAGGAGGAAAAACAAAAACAAAAACAAAAACAAAAUCAAAAAAAGGGAAGAGGAAAAUUAAUUGUAAACAUCAUUAAUUCUUUCUCUCCUUCAAACUCCUAAUUAAAUUAGCCCUUUUUCUCUUCUUUUCUCUUGAAAUAGAAGGGACUUUAAUUAACUGCUAAAACCAUUUUAGCUUGACCACAACACCCUCCAUGUAAAAAGGUAGGUUAACUAACCCCAGGAGAAAGUAUACACCCUUCUAAUAUAUAACUACACAUUUACAUCUCUAAAAUGGAUGUGAUGUAGCUUAAUUGAUCUCUAAAUUAAAGACCCUCCUUCACUAAGUACUGUUUCAUGUAAUCUAGUAGAAGCAGUAUUUAAGUGAGGUCUCAAGCUAGGGUUUAGUUUCUACACCCCCUCCUGUUUCGGUCUGGCGGUCCACAGCGAGCUGAGGGCGCGGAGGCGGUGGAAGUACUCCGCAAUGGCUAAGAAGCAUCGCGCCGCUUGGUGGACUGUCAGGAUUUGGUGAAGCCUGUGGAGCGUCUGCAGCCUCAAACUGUCAGCCUGAAAAUUCAUAAAAAUCAAAUUAUUUGUCAAUUCUAAAAAUGAACGAAGCAGAUAGCUUGCUAUAUCUUUCUCUCUAGUUCAGAAAAAAGAAGAAGAAGAAGAAGAAGAGUAUUUCAUAAUUCAUAUGUACAAAUCAAAACUUUUGAUCACACUUAAAUAUCUUGUUAACUAAUUAUUGUACCUAUUUCAUAAUACUUUAUCAAAGAAAUAGUAUAUAUAUAGAAAUAGCAUAUAUUUAUAUACAUUUUUAAGCUUUGAUAGAGUGUGUAUAGUCAUAUAGAUAUAUCUAUAUGUUGAAUUUAAAUCUUUGAAAAAAAUAAAAAAAGGGAAAGGAAAAAAUGUUUCUAUGUACUAGUUAAUUAUUACAAUGAAUUAAACUAUACUUAGUAAAGAAGCUAUAUUAAUUACUAAAUAAAGUACUAUAGGAUACAUAUAUAUAUAUAUAUAGAGUUAGGCCCGAGUACUUGUAAAAAUCGACAGCCUUGUUACUUCCACGCCAUUCCCGUUGAUAGGGCAUGCGAUCGAAUUGACAAUCAACACCGUCAAACUUGAUCAUAUACGCUAUUUGAAUUUUUUUAGAUCCUAAAUUUCGCAAUUAAACAAUAUCAUUUGUCUAGUAUUCAAAACGGCCCUUAAAUUGACGACUUUUAAUGGCUAACAUAAAGUAAGUAUAUAUGUUUGAGACAUACCAUUUGAUCAGUAGAUAAAUAGUGUUAAAAAUUUACGAAAUUCGGCUUAUAGAAUGUGCAGAUAACUUAGAUCGUAGUUAACUGUACCAAUCGUUGAUUUGGAUGUCCCAUGACCGAAAAUUAAUGAUGCAAAAGCAAAUGGUCUAGUUUACUUCCAAAAGUACCCUAGCUUUAAUUGUACAUAUCUAUAGAUAGUGUGAAUAAGUAUACAAGGUGGAUGAAAUAUCACCCUCAAACUACAUGAGACUUAGAUGGAUAUGCUGCUCCAAAUAUGCAAUCCAUGAAUCUUCUAGAGUGAUGGGUAUAGAUUGAUAGAAGUGUUGCAACUAAGUUUGGCUUCUCCCCUUGACUUUGCUACUGCUAUGAGAAUCUGUUAUUUUCUUCUACCUACCUCUGCAGUUGAUUUGUCUCUCAACCAAAAACUUAGUAAUAAUGUUGAAGAUUGAAUAAUCGUCGCAUAUCAUGUAUUUUAAUGUUAUGGGAAUCGAUUAGUCUCACUAUUCAACCUAUUUGUUUUUCAGUUAGUUGACCUAAAAUCCACCUAAUGCAUUAGUUGAUUAGUUAAGUUUCUGAUCAAGAACUUAAUGAAGUGUUCAUUCAAAAAGUGCUUAUUCCAAUUAAUCUAGCAAAUGCAUGCACUAGAACUUUUGAAUGGUAUAAGUCAAAGAUCCUUGAUCAAUUGUAAAACUAAUAUUAUUGCAUGCAUGCAUCUAGUUUUCUGUACGUAUUAUUUGAUCAAUUUGCUAGGAUAAAUGCAACCUUUGUUGAUACUAGGAUUAAUUAGCUACAUGACUAUAUAUAUAUAUAUAUAUAUAUAUAUAUAUAGUCCGGCUAUGGUGCUUGUAAAAGUACCAAUUACUUAAUGCUUGCUUGAUGCCUGUAAAUUUUUUACCAUUAGAUCUUUGCCUUUGAUCAUUUUCACCCGUUAGAUUAUACUAUUCAACCAAUCACCCACUCAACCCUAGGAGGCUCAUAUCAUCCUAACCGCACAUUUCUNAUAUAUAUAUAUAUAUAUAUAUAUAUAAUUAGGCUAGAAUACUAAUUGUUAAUAGUAUUUGGCCCCUUUUGUUAUCAAGUUUUUAACCCUUGGAUCAAAAAUUGUAGGGUUAGGAUGAUAUUAGUCCCUUAGAGUUGAGUGGUCUCCCUUGAUUGAGUGGUCCCACUGAGCUAUAAUAUUUAAUCCAAUGGGUAGAAAUGAUUAAAAGAAAUAAUCUAAGGGUUAAAAAUUUGAUAACAAAAGGAGCAAAUACUAUUAGUAGUAUUCUAGUGCAACUCUCUCUCUCUCUCUCUCUCUCUCUCUCUCUCUAUAUAUAUAUAUAUAUAUAUAUAUAGAAUUGAGCUCCUAUGCUUUUAAAAGUACCAAGUUAUUGGUGCUUAUAGAUUUUUAGCCAUUGGAUUAAGAGAUAUACAGUUACGAUGAUGUGGGCCCCCUAGGGUUGAGUGGGUGGUUGGUUGAAUAGUAUAAUCUAAUGGUUGAAAAUGAUCCGAGGAAUAGAUCUAAUGGUAAAAAACUUACAAACACCAAGUGCUUGGUGCUUUUACAAGCACCAUAGUUGGACUAUAUAUAUAUAUAUAUAUAUAUAUACCCAUUUAUUUUCGAUAAUGGAGUCUCCAAAUCGACAAUCGGUACUAUUGAACAUGAUCUAUACCACUGAAGCAUCUAGAAACUAAAUUUUAAAUCUUUUCGACAUCAUUAGCCUAAUGUUCAAAUGGUCUCAAAAAUUAUAAUUUUAAUGGUCAGUAUGAGAUGUUUUCUCGUUUAACGGCGUAAAGAUAUCAAAAUCAAUUGAAUUUUGGUUAAAAUUUUUUUUAAACUAUUUAAAACAAGAUAUAUACUCUUGAUCUUAAUUACAAGAUUCCUAUCAUCACUUUUUAAAGGAUAUCCAUUUUUACUUGUUCAUUUUUGUGUCCACUUGAUGACAAGAGAACAAUAUUAGAAAAGUAUGAAUUUUUGUUUCUAUAUGCUUCAAGUGAUAUAGAUCAUGUUCAACGGUGCUGAUCGUUGAUUUGGAGGCUCCAUUAUCGAAAACAUAUAGAUGACCACAGAGCCCGUUUACUACUAAUAGCAUUCUGGUCAACUCUCUCUCUCUCUCUCUCUCUCUCUCUCUUUAUAUAUAGAUAUAUAUAUAUAUAUAUAUAUAUAGAGAGAGAGAGAGAGAGAGAGAGAGAAGAUAGAGAGAGAGAGAGAGAGAGCUAGGCUGGUAUACUAUCGGUAGCACGGAGGCCUCCGUGUUACCAAGUUGUUUUUAAUGUUGCGGCUUCCAAAUUAAUGAUCGGCUCCGUUAGACUUGAUCUACACUAUUAAAAUUAUUUGGAAACUAAAAUUUCAUAAUUUUUUGGCAUCAUUUACCUAUCAAACGAGUAGUCUAAAAAUAAAUGGCUGAAAAUAAAAAUCUUAUAAAAAAUGAUGAUAAAAGACUAAAAUUUAACAUCAGAGGUAUUGAUCUUACUCUAAAUAGUUAAAAGAAUUUUCUAUAAAAAUUUCAUCAGAUUUGGAGUGUUUUACACCGUUAAAUUUACAAACGCAUCACAUCUACCAUUAAAAUUAUCAAUUUUGAGACCAUUUGAUCACUAACCAAAAAAUAACGAAAAAUUAUGAAAUUUAAUUUUCAAAUACUUUUAAUAGUGUAGAUUAAGUCUAACGGGGCCGAUAGUCGAUUUGGAAGCCACAUCAUUGAAAACAACUGGUAGCACGGAGGCCUCCGUGCUACCAAUAGUAUAUCAGUCUAGCUCUAUAUAUAUAUAUAUAUAUAUAUAUAUAUAUAUAUAUGUGCGCGCGCGCGUAUUUGAAUGGUUGCUUACUAGGUAGAACAGCUACCAUAGCAAUAUGAUAAUUUAAUAAGUAAAACAACUACUUCAUGUCCUAUACUAGUAAUAAUUCUAUAAUAAAAACUACACUAGCUACAAAUCAAUAAAGUAAUUACUAAACUACAACCGACAACAAAGUGAUAUAGUUUCAUCCUUUCAUUUGUUGUACUAAUUAAUGUACCAAUUUUUCGACAUCUAGCAUUACAUGAUUGAGAUGAGAACAAAUUAAAUUUAAUAUGAAAUUAACUUUAUGAUAGGCACUAAAUGAUGUUGUUAAUGUACGUGUCAUAUGUCAUAGUGAGAUCAUAUAUAAUCCACAUGAUCAAAAUGUAGCUUAAUGCCACUAAUAUAUAUAAUUCAUGAUGUUAAACAUAAAAGUAUAUAUAAAAAAAUACUAUUCUCUAUCCGCUUAAGCUUUUGAAGAAUAACGAUUGUUUUGUCUAAUUUAAUUAACAUGGCAUCAUAGUUCGAGUCACGUAUAUCGAUCAGGCUCUUAGUAUUGUUAAUUUUCUCCUACUUAAUUUAAGUUCACGCCAUAAUCUAUCAGCUUAAGCUUUUAUAGAGAAUAACGGUUGUUUACUAUAAUUCAACACUUGACAGAGAGUGCACAAUCGUGUUGAGUUUUAAUCCUUACUUGUCGAACGAAGGCUUCGAGAGAUGCGAGCUUGUCCAAGGCGAGCGACAGAUGCGCGGUGUAGGUGGCCAUGUCGGGCGGAGAACUCAUUACUUCCGAGGAGAUGGUAUCGGAAAGCGAUUGGUGAACAGCUUCGAGACCUUGGUUCAGCGCGUCCUCCGACUCGUGCACGGAUUGUUGCAGGCUGUAAAUCCCCAGCAUCUGCGGCUCCGACAACGGCUCUAGGUAUUUUCGGACAACCUGAUCACAAAAAACCAACAAUCAGUCACAAUAAGAGCAAAAAAUUAGUAUUUAGUAUAUAUAUAUAUAUAUAUAUAUAUAUAUAUAUAUAUAUAUAUAUAUAUAUAUAUAUAUAUAUUACANAAAAUGAAUAAAUACUGUCCUUUAUUGUCAUCAAAGAGUCAAAUAUAUGUUUAGACAUUUUCUCUGUUACACACUCAAGUCCCGAGGAAUCAUAUAUAUAUAUAUAUAUAUAUAUAUAUAUAUAUAUAUAUAUAUAUAUAUAUAUAUAUAUAUAUAUAUAUAUAUAUAUAUAUAUAUAGUAUUGCAUAAACACAGAUACGAGAUACAGAUCAGACAAGCGUUAUAGAUACGUCUAUAUAGAAAAUCUCCUCUCGACGUUAUCAAAGAAGCAUAUCUUAGAAGGAUCAAAUCCUUGUCCACAUUUUUAAUUAUCCUUGCAAAUUUGUUUGAUAAAUUUUUUAAAAAAAGUAUAUAUAUUCAACAUGUAAUAUACAUAGACAUGUUUAGAGUAUUGAAGUAAUCAAUCGGGCAUCAUAGAUUAUAAUGUUGUAUAACAAAUAGAAAGAUCUACACAUAUAGUUAUGUAUCUUUAUAUAUACUUUUGUACGUAGAUAACAUGAGUUUAAAUUAAUGGCUACCUCUAAAAGUAGUUUAAACAUAAUUUUCAUUUUAUGUAAUAUAUAUAUAUAUAUAUAUAUAUACAUAUACAUCAAUGCAAAGCCCCAUAUAUAUUUUUCCUUUUUUCCUUUUCUCCUUUUUUUCUUCUUCCUCUUCAAUAUAUACUUCUUAUUUACACCAUCUCAUCCACCUCCAUACCCCCCAAUCUAUGUACUACCUCUACCAAAAGGUUAUUACCCCCCCAACACCAGAACCUAAGUUUAUAAGAUAUUUUUCAACUCAACCGAGGAUAAACCUUAUCCUUAAUAUCUUAGUUUGAUUGGAGUCUAUACUUCAUACCCUACUCGAAACGUAUGCAUGGACUAGAGAGAGAGAGAGAGAGAGAGUGAAAAAGAAAAAAAAAAACUAAAAAGUAUAACUGAUCUGGUUGUUAUAUAUCAAAGUAUAUAUACUGAAGAAAAGAAAGACUUACGCUGUGAAAUAAAUUAAUUUUCUUCUUGUAUAUAAAUACUACACUUUAUUGACAAGCAGAAAUUUUCAAUUCAGCCCUAUAAUAUUGAGGUUAUAGUAUACUUUAUUGAUGAACAGUGGUUUAAGUUGUAUAUUGUUUAUAUAUAUAUAUAUAUAUAUAUAUAUCUCUCUCUCUCUCUCUCUCUCUCUCUCUCUUACUCUUAAGUUGAUUCUAUGAUUUCUAUGAUAACUAUCGUGUAUGAAAAGUGAAAAAGUGGUAACCAAAUAUUGAUAAUGAGGUUGAUGGGCGAGUUGAGAUCCGUAGGUUGUCCGUAUUUCACUUAUUAUAGUAUAAUAAUUAUCAUAAUGUCGUGUUGAGAGAGAGAGAGAGAGAGAGAGAGAGAGAGAGAGAGAGAGAGAGAGAGAGAGAGAGAUAUAUAUAUAUAUAUAUAUAUAUAUGUAGGAUGAAUAAAACCGUACUUUUGAGGUGAUCAACAAAUCGGUUAUUAUUAAAUUUCAUAAUCGUAGUGUUUUAGUGUAGAAAAAUUUGAGCUCCUUUACGUUUUCAAAUUAAGUUCCAUUUUGUAUUCAUUAGCUUAUCACGUUUAUCACAUUUAUCUAGUCUCGACAAUACCCGUUAUAUCAGUAAGAAAGAGAAUAUAGAAAAACAAAGAGAGCUUCUAUUAUUUCUUUUACAUGCUUGUUAUAAGUACGUCAGAUAUUUUACUUUUCAAGUUUCUUAGUUUACUAAUUUCUUCACUAGUACGGGUAUNNNNNNNNNNNNNNNNUAUGUAUAUAUAUAUAUAUAUAUAUAUAUAUAUAUAUAUAUAUAUAUAUAUAUAUAUAUAUAUAUAUAUAUAUAUAAAUGAAUAUAUGAUUCUAUCAACUGGGACCUUUCACCGGAUUAGCUAAUCCAUCAUUUAUCACCACCUAAAGUGUUCAACCAAUGCCAACAUAACUUGUCGGAUUAUACCGAUCGAUGCUUUUCUCUCUAUACGUGUAACAAUCUACAAAGUAAUUGACUCUACGACCGCGAAUUUCGUCGAUAGCAAUCCCUAAUUACUUGUCACAAGGGGACCGCUUGCUCGAUCGAUAUAUCAACUCCCGUAAGAGUCGCGGUUAAGACCAACUUGUUCAUAAGAGUCCUAUUUUUUCAUAAAUCUGUAUAUUUUUUUACUUUUGACUAAUUCUAAGCUCCAAAUUAAUAACAUGAGAAACUUGGUACUAGGAUUGUACUUCAUGUUAUACUUUUUCUUAUAUCGUAUUUAUUGAGCUAGAGCUAUUUAAGAGUUGCACUUGAUGAAUGAACUGAGGCUGAUUAAUUGGGAAAUUUACUCCUCUUCCUUUUUUAUAUAUGUCCAUAUAGCUUUUUCUUCUUCUCUUUUUUUUCUUUUUUUUUUUUUUCUUUUCACUGAGAAAGACAUCAUAUAUAUAUAUAUAUAUAUGUAUUUAAUUAUAUAAGGAUUUGGAGGACCCCUACAUGACCUUUCAUAUAUAUGAGAUUGUAACUUAAUUUAUUACACUUAAACGAGAGAAAUAAAUUAAGCUUAUAAAUUUCUUCUUCUUGCUGGGGUGAUCGUGUUCUAGGACGGAUAAGGUGUGUAUGAUUUCGAAUUUGGUUUUAUAUAAACUUAAAAGAGUAUAAAGGGUCUUCCAAAUAAACUUAAAAUCUAGUUUAAAAUUAUCUUCUUCUUCAUCUUUUUUUUUUUUUUAAAGUAACAGUUGCAUGCAAGCAUAUAUUUGAACAUCUUCAUUUUUUUUUUUCUUUUUGUUCUUGAAAUAUAUAUUUUAGUAUAUAAAUGAAAAGAUGGAUGCAUGAGGGUACGUAAUAUGAACCUUGAUGAGCUCGGAGGGGCGGAAGUCGCCGAUCCAAACGAAGCAGCGCUCGGCGGGGGUCUUCCACGUGCCCGACAUGAGGUGGAAGGCGUCCGCUCUGACGAUGACGCCUUUCAGGCCCAUCAGCACGUCGUAGUGCGAGACCGCAGCCUCGACGAACAUCUGCAUCUGCCCGUCCGCCAAGUUCGAUUCCACCGCAGCCCGCAGCUGAAGCAUCAGCUUGUGAUGCUCCUCCAGCCAUCUCCUGUACUCCACGUCGAACAUCGCCGCCUCUGAUCGAUCGACGACCGACAAAAAUUAUUGACCAAAGGAUUGAUUGAUUCGAUCGUAAUACGAUCCGGUCGAUCGCAUCGCAUCGAUUGAGCUUCUUUUAGGGUUUUAAUUACUUAAAGUCGUACCUGAGCUGGUGCCGGUGCAACUACUAGUACUAUUUGCAAGUCCUUGGUCUCCGACGACGGCCGCUAUGCCGCUCAAGAGCGUGCCCUAAUCCAUGAAGACAAUGUUGAUCGAUUGAUUAUUCUUUUAUCAGGUUAUGAUCAUAUAUAAAGCAUGCAUGCAUGCAUGCAUGCAUAAGGGGGAAAAAGAAAAACUAUGAGUACUUUAUAUAUACACGUAUGUAUGCAUGUAUGUAUACAUAUUUGUUUGAAAGUUAAAAUCCAAUAAUAUAUAUUAUUAUACAUAUAAUGUGUACCUGAGUAGAUCUUGCUCUUUGGAGAUCUUGUUCAAGCUGGAUUAACCUAACCCUACUUGACUCUAGCUGUUGAAUGUAGGCCUGUUGAAUAUACAUACAUAUAUAUAUACAUGUAAAGUGAGAAAUGAGAAAUUUAUAUAUAUAUAUAUAUAUAUAAAACUAAGGAAAAAUGACAAAUAAAUAUACAUAUAUAUGUAUGCAUGUAUGAAAACAUCAAAACACACAAGAAUAAAGUGUAUGUGCAUGUCUCUUUUGGUAAAUAUUGUUGACUAAUUAAUUAACUAACUAAUUAAUUAAUUAAUUAACUAAUUAAUGGACCUUCUUCCUAAGCCUGCUUUUUCUUGCUGCCUCUCUAUUCUGUGCAAGCCUUCUUAGUAUCUGCACAUACACAAGAUGAGAAUGAGUCAGAUUAAUUAAACCAUGCCAUUAGAAGAUCACAAGGAGUUUUUUUUUAUAUUAAGCUGCAACAAUUUUCUUUUUUCAUUAUUAUCAUCUUUUUAUUAUAAAAGAGAAAAAAAAACAUAAAUAGGAGAUUAAUUAAUACAUGCAUAUUGUUUGUAUAUAUUAAUUAGUAGUGCUACUCACAGAAGGAGAAAGAGAAGAAGGACCUUCAUGCUCUGAACUAGAUGUUGUUGUGCCCUUUCCAUUUCCUCCCCUCUGCUUCCUACCAAUUAAAAGAACAACAAUAAUUAAAAAUAAAAAUAAAAAUAUUAAUAAAAGGUAGUUCUUGUAGUAAUAGUAAUAAUAAAGAGAGAGAGAGAGAGAGAGAGAGAGAGAGAGAGAGACCUUGAUUGAUGUUUUGGUUAUCUCUUUCCUUCGGUCAUCAGGAUGGGGGAUUGAGGGAUCACUUUUCUCUUUGCCUGUUAAUUCCAUGGGCUUGUUUAAUGGUUCCAAUUAUUAAUUGAGGUGUAGCUUUGAUUUUAUUUAUUUCCAAUAGCCAAUCAACUUUAUGAUAUUUGAUUCCCCAAGACUAACCCAUUAUUGAACUCCCUCCAUCGAUUCGUAUUACCAUCUCACUCUCUCAAUUUAUCUUAUAUAUCUGUCUCUCUUCUUUUUUGCCUCUUUUCUUUUUUCUUUUUAUAUAUACCAACGUAACUAAUAUUAUAUUACAUAUAUAUAUAUAACUAUUAUAUUAUAUUAUUACUAUAUCUUUAAAUGAAUUGUCUAUAUGGGAACGUUUCCCGGAUUAGUAUCCAUAUUUAUAUUCCACAUAAAGUGUCAACAUGCACAUAAUUGUGGAUUAUACGAUGAUAUUUUUCUCUCUAUGUGUACAAUGAGAGAGAGAGAGAGUUGUGCUGUAAUACUAUUAAUAAUAUGAUAUUAUUCACUUUAUGCCUGUUGGAUGCCUAGAGUUGAGCGGGUAGUUGGAGUAAUAGUUAUAAACCAAUGGUGAAAAAGUGAAAAGUAUGUGCUAUCAAUAGUAUCUUUAGUAUCUUAGUUGAAUUCUCAUUCUCUCUCUCUCUCUCUCUCUCUCUCUCUCUAUAUAUAUAUAUAUAUAUAUAUAUAUUUGUUAUAUGUUGAAUUUGGUGACAAGUAGUUAUUUCAUAUGAUAUUGGAGUUAUAAUAUCCCGACUUAACUUUUAAAGACGAACAGUUAUUUCACAUCAUAAAUAUAUGUUCUUCUUUCAAUUAAAUGAAGUGUCGCAUUCAGAAAGAAAAGAAGUCAUAUAUAUGAAACUAUAUAUUGUUGGUCUAGUCAAUAUGAAAAAUCAAAAAAAAAAAGAAAAAGUGAAAAAAAAAAAAACCCACAAAAAUACGCCGGAAAUAAGGAAGAAAUCAAACGCAGUUUAGAGAGAGAGAGAUCAGGUACGUAUGCAAAGCUCAUCCCAUACUUCAUAUCUGAGGUUAGUUUGAUUCUAUAAUUCCUAUUCCAAAUAGGAGCCAACUCAACUUUUUAUAGAAUAUUUGAAUCCAAGACCACAACCCCCCCAUUAUUGGAAAACCAUCUCCAUCAUGUAUCUAACCCCCCAUACCUCCACCUACUCUACCACAUUUAUUCUUCAUAUAUAACUUCUCCUUCUUCUUUUUUUCCUCUUUUCCUUUUUUCCUUUUUAUAUAUACCCCGAAACGUAACUACAUAUACAUAUAUAUAUAUAUAUAUAUAUAUAUAUAUAUAUAUAUAUAUAUAUAUAUAUAUAUAUAUAUAUAUAUAUAAAUCNNNNNNNNNNNNNNNNNNNNNNNNNNNNNNNNNNNNNNNNNNNNNNNNNNNNNNNNNNNNNNNNNNNNNNNNNNNNNNNNNNNNNNNNNNNNNNNNNNNNNNNNNNNNNNNNNNNNNNNNNNNNNNNNNNNNNNNNNNNNNNNNNNNNNNNNNNNNNNNNNNNNNNNNNNNNNNNNNNNNNNNNNNNNNNNNNNNNNNNNNNNNNNNNNNNNNNNNNNNNNNNNNNNNNNNNNNNNNNNNNNNNNNNNNNNNNNNNNNNNNNNNNNNNNNNNNNNNNNNNNNNNNNNNNNNNNNNNNNNNNNNNNNNNNNNNNNNNNNNNNNNNNNNNNNNNNNNNNNNNNNNNNNNNNNNNNNNNNNNNNNNNNNNNNNNNNNNNNNNNNNNNNNNNNNNNNNNNNNNNNNNNNNNNNNNNNNNNNNNNNNNNNNNNNNNNNNNNNNNNNNNNNNNNNNNNNNNNNNNNNNNNNNNNNNNNNNNNNNNNNNNNNNNNNNNNNNNNNNNNNNNNNNNNNNNNNNNNNNNNNNNNNNNNNNNNNNNNNNNNNNNNNNNNNNNNNNNNNNNNNNNNNNNNNNNNNNNNNNNNNNNNNNNNNNNNNNNNNNNNNNNNNNNNNNNNNNNNNNNNNNNNNNNNNNNNNNNNNNNNNNNNNNNNNNNNNNNNNNNNNNNNNNNNNNNNNNNNNNNNNNNNNNNNNNNNNNNNNNNNNNNNNNNNNNNNNNNNNNNNNNNNNNNNNNNNNNNNNNNNNNNNNNNNNNNNNNNNNNNNNNNNNNNNNNNNNNNNNNNNNNNNNNNNNNNNNNNNNNNNNNNNNNNNNNNNNNNNNNNNNNNNNNNNNNNNNNNNNNNNNNNNNNNNNNNNNNNNNNNNNNNNNNNNNNNNNNNNNNNNNNNNNNNNNNNNNNNNNNNNNNNNNNNNNNNNNNNNNNNNNNNNNNNNNNNNNNNNNNNNNNNNNNNNNNNNNNNNNNNNNNNNNNNNNNNNNNNNNNNNNNNNNNNNNNNNNNNNNNNNNNNNNNNNNNNNNNNNNNNNNNNNNNNNNNNNNNNNNNNNNNNNNNNNNNNNNNNNNNNNNNNNNNNNNNNNNNNNNNNNNNNNNNNNNNNNNNNNNNNNNNNNNNNNNNNNNNNNNNNNNNNNNNNNNNNNNNNNNNNNNNNNNNNNNNNNNNNNNNNNNNNNNNNNNNNNNNNNNNNNNNNNNNNNNNNNNNNNNNNNNNNNNNNNNNNNNNNNNNNNNNNNNNNNNNNNNNNNNNNNNNNNNNNNNNNNNNNNNNNNNNNNNNNNNNNNNNNNNNNNNNNNNNNNNNNNNNNNNNNNNNNNNNNNNNNNNNNNNNNNNNNNNNNNNNNNNNNNNNNNNNNNNNNNNNNNNNNNNNNNNNNNNNNNNNNNNNNNNNNNNNNNNNNNNNNNNNNNNNNNNNNNNNNNNNNNNNNNNNNNNNNNNNNNNNNNNNNNNNNNNNNNNNNNNNNNNNNNNNNNNNNNNNNNNNNNNNNNNNNNNNNNNNNNNNNNNNNNNNNNNNNNNNNNNNNNNNNNNNNNNNNNNNNNNNNNNNNNNNNNNNNNNNNNNNNNNNNNNNNNNNNNNNNNNNNNNNNNNNNNNNNNNNNNNNNNNNNNNNNNNNNNNNNNNNNNNNNNNAAAUACUCUAAAUCAUGUUUAACAGUGUGGAUCGUUAAUUCGGAAGCCCCAACAUCGAAAAUAAUUUAUGAGUACGAAGGGCUCUAUACUCAUAAGAGUAUAGUAGCCCUACUCUCUCUCUCUCACUCUCUCUCUCUCUCUCUCUCUCUCUCUAUAUAUAUAUAUAUAUAUAUAAAACUAAGGAAAAAUGACAAAUAAAUAUACAUAUAUAUGUAUGCAUGUUGAAAACAUCAAAACACACAAGAAUAAAGUGUAUGUGCAUGUCUCUUUUGGUAAAUAUUGUUGACUAAUUAAUUAACUAAUUAAUUAAUUAAUUAAUUAACUAAUUAAUGGACCUUCUUCCUAAGCCUGCUUUUCCUUGCUGCCUCUCUAUUCUGUGCAAGCCUUCUUAGUAUCUGCACAUACACAAGAUGAGAAUGAGUCAGAUUAAUUAAACCAUGCCAUUAGAAGAUCACAAGGAGUUUUUUUUUAUAUUAAGCUGCAACAAUUUUCUUUUUUCAUUAUUAUCAUCUUUUUAUUAUAAAAGAGAAAAAAAAACAUAAAUAGGAGAUUAAUUAAUACAUGCAUAUUGUUUGUAUAUAUUAAUUAGCAGUGCUACUCACUUUGGGAUCAGGUGUCUUGGGACCUUCAUGCUCUGAACUAGAUGUUGUUGUGCCCUUUCCAUUUCCUCCCCUCUGCUUCCCACCAUUUAAAAGAACAACAAUAAUUAAAAAUAAAAAUAAACAUAAUAAUAAAAGGUAGUUCUUGUAGUAAUAGUAAUAAUAAAGAGAGAGAGAGAGAGAGAGAGAGAGAGAGACCUUGAUUGAUGUUUUGGUUAUCUCUUUUCUUUGGUCAUCAGGAUGGGGGAUUGAGGGAUCACUUUUCUCUUUGCCUGUUAAUUCCAUAGGCUUGUUUAAUGGUUUCUUAGAAGAGCCUCCAUCUGGGAUCAUAGUCAUAGCACCCUACACACACACACAUAUAUAUAUAUAAGAAGUUAAGAACACUACAUUUUUUUAUUUUAAUUAAUACAUAGGAAAAAAGAAAAAGAAAAAGAAUUUCUAGAUGGUCGUAAAUUAAAGCAAGUGCAAGGAACAAAGGAAAUGAGCCACAAUUAGAAAUUAAUGGGGGGUGUUGAAUUAAUAAAAAGUUUUAGAAAUAAUGUAACAUGUGGUCAGUACCUUUGACGAUGGAUCUUCUACAUGCAUGGGCUCAGAAGGGAAAAUAUUCAAAGUCUCUGCAACACAUGAACAUCAUUAGCUCUCCUCAAGGUGCAAUAUAUAUGCAACUAAUUAUAUUUAUAAAUAAAUAAAUAAAUAUAUAUAUAUAUAUAUAUAUGUAUAUAUAUAUAUAUAUAUAUACCUCAAAUUAAUACAGCAUGCUAAUAUAUAAACAUGUACUCAUGUAACAAACUUUUACUCAAUAACAAAAGUAUACAUAUUAGUUUGCACCUCCUUUAUAUAUAAGUGCAUGUUGUGGGGGCAAUAGAGUAGAUAAGAGUUGGGUUAAAAAGGAAAUUAAGUUUGAAGAACAAUUAAUUAAUUGCACCUUCUUUUUAGAACAACUAGUUUAAAGAACAAUUUAAUUAGAAAUCCAGAUUAAAAAAAAAAAAAAAGUUACAAGAAGAUAUGCAUGCCUUAAGAAUUAAUUGUGGAAAAUUAAGAACCAACACUACUGUUCUAGAGAGAGAGAGAGAGAGAGAGAGAGAGAGAGAGGCGUACGCCGUUGCGCUUGAACAAGUGAUGAUUGAUCAUUGCCAUCCAGGUAGAAGAAGAGGGCUUGAUCCAAUUCCGCCAAAUCAUACGCUCCUGAAUCCUUGCUCCUGAUUUUGUUAGAGUAUAUAAGAGGAAAUUAAAAAGAAAUUAAGAAUCAUGAGGAAAUUAUACAAAUAGUUAAGAACCCUACAAUUUGGUUGAGCAAAUAUAUACUAAAUCUAAUCCCUACAAUUCAAGGGGACUCCUUAAAAUUUUCUCAGGAAAACAAUAUGGCCUAGUAUUUGUUCUUUUAAUUCUUCCUCUACCCUCUCUCUCUAGAUCUCUCUUGUGUAAGUGCCAAAAAAGAAAGGGGAAAGAAAGAAAAGGAGAGGAAAGGAAAGGAGAACAAGUAUCAAAAUAGGUCUUGGAGACUACUUUGAAAACAAUAUGUCGAAUUCUAUCGUGUCGAUUGCGACACUGCUUUUUUCCCAUGACCAUACCUUGAUGAUCUAUUAUCCAUCAAAAACACCACCACAAGUCAUGAUCUAGCUAGAAUCAGAAAGAAAAUCUAACUCAUGGGUUUCUUCUCUAAUCUAGGGUAAGCAAUAAAUUAACUUCUAUCCAAUCCAGUCUCGCUCAAUCGGUGUUACCGUACAUGGACGAAGAGGGACCGAUCAUCCCGGAAGAAGAAGAACAACAACUAUGGAGUACUUGUUGUUGUAGCAGUUGUUGUUGUUGUUGUUGUUGUUGUUGUUGUUCCCCUUCCUUUGAGCUCCCUCUACAAUUAUCUCCCAUGCAACUACUACUACAACUACUGCUGCUGCUGCUGCUCUCUGCAACAACUCGACGAUCGCUUUCGCUUUCUCCUUCAAUAAUCCUUGUUGAUCUCCUUCAUGAGAGAUAGAAGCGGCCAUUAAUGGCGAACCCGAUUUCCGUUACACUCCAUCUAUAUUUGCGUCUAAAAUCGCAAUUAAAAGCUAUAAAGAGCCGCCUCCUUUCUUCUGUUCGACGUGUCGAUCCUUCCGAACCCUUCCUCAACCCUCCCUCUGACCAAGAGGAGCCGCAACAAGUUAUCCAUCUACUUACAUAAUCACUUUUCUAUUCUUUUUCUCUUUUUUUUUUGUUCAUCUAUUUCCUUUUCUUAAUUAGUAUAUAGCUUGUUCUUUUUCUUUAGGGUGGAGGAUACAAUUGUUAUUGUAUGGACCUGGCCUAUGGACUUGGUCGCAAUAGCCGUACUACUUGCCUCGAUGGAGAUGGAGAUUAAGAUUAAGAGAAAAUUAAUGUUAUGUACAGCUGCAACUAUUUUACAUGCAUGUUAAAUAAGAAAUCGAAGAAAUUCGAGAACACACACAUAUAUAUAUAUAUGCAUGGUGGGCCCUACAAAUUCAUUUUCACAAUUGUAGUCUAAAAAGGUUCCAUAUGCCCCUAAAGUAUAUUGUAGUUACAUCAUUAAUCUCUUUGGAGAGAAUAUAGGGAAAUAAUAGGGCUAGCUCCCUCGUCCGUUCGUGUGUAUGUGUUGCAUUUUAAUCAGCUCAAUCAAUCGUCAGUAGUGUUGGCUUAAAUGGACUAGCAUCCUGGCCUAUAGUCGAAGGCCAUGUUGGGCUAAGUCAUGUUCGAAAUGGCGUGAAAUUAGGUGGGCCAGUCAUGUUCGAAGUGGCAUGAGGCUGGUUGGACCGAGUCACAAUCGAGACCCAUGGGCACUGUAUCUAUACGCUUUAAGUGAAUUGAUCGUCAGUAGAUGACAUGGUAAACUAGGUCCAGGCACGAAAUUUCUCGUGUCGUAUGUGGGUAAGAUUACCCUCCACAGACACUCGAUCAGAAUGGUAAAUACAAGCGACAAUUAAUCUUGUUUAAUUAAUAAUUACCAUGGUAAUUAACCUGACUAAACCCGGAUUUUUCUUGCAAAAUGACUUUUAGAAAUGCCCCUUGGCUACGUGCCUACAUGCAUGCAAGGGUGUAGAGACCAUCUCCUUCCGAAGGCUCACACUUGGUUACUAUGUAGUUCAUGUCGCGACAACGGCAGCAGUACUGGCACGAACGAACGUACGUACGUGUCUGUCAUUCACGCCGAUAGCCAUACGCACGCAGCGUGGUACUCGUGCUUGCUGCCUGACAAAGUAACCAACCGAGAGAAAAACCGACAAAGCUAAAGGCGACCGUGAGAUACAUGAGGGAUAUGAGGACGAUCGAUGAAGAUCACAUCAUACGCAAGUUCGUAGUUUAAACACUUUGCUCUUUCGAAUAGAAUGUAGGAAAUCGAUCGCAUUCUCAUUAAUUUCUCCUGUUAAAAAGUAAAUUAUGUCAACAAUAGAUUACUGUAAUGAGGAUUAUGGCCUUCAAUUACGUUCUUCGAUCCAACUCAACCACAACACUCAAAAUAUAUGUAGUAGAAGAAGAACCCUAGAAGGUGACAUGAUUAUAAGUUAACCAAAUAUGUACACUUAAGUUAAAAAAGCAUCAUAUACACCUAAACUAUAUAUUGACCUUCAUAUGUAUAUAUAGGGUACAUAACUUGACAUUAAUUAUUAAUUAUCAUAAAGUAAUAAGUGAUUACUAGAAGGAGAUAAUAUAAUUAAAGCUAGCAUUUGGAUGGGUUUUGUAUCUUUCUUUGUUUUUGCCAAGGGGUUACCUAAUUAAUUAAAUUGACUAAGGGGAAAAUGACAUAGCAAUAUUUAAAUGAAACUCUCUCUCUCUCUCUAUAUAUAUAGUCAAUAAUUAACAACUUCUCCUCUAAUUUUCCCACUAAUCAUUAAUUAAUUGGAGGCAAAAAGUAUAGCAAUUAACUUAAUUUGAUUGCCACAUCACAUUACACGAACAUGAUAUAAUUAAGUCAUUAAAAUACAGUAAUACCGAUUACUGAACCAACAUAUUUGAAUUUGGACAGUUGUACAAAUACAUAUUUAUAUAUGUAGCUCUAUAUAUAUAUAAAGUUGGUACGUAUUUGUAUAUGUUACAUGAUCGGCAAAGAUAUAUAUGUAAAAAAAAAUUUCGUAUAUAUAUAUACUCCGUAUAAUAUUCAAAUCAUCAACUUGGAGCAUUGGAUUAAUCUCAUUAAUUUACUUGCAACUAAAUGGGAAAGGACAUAAUAUUACUCUUUUAAAUAUUAUACUAACCAGGCUUUAAUUGUACAAAUUUUAGUUAAUUAGAAGUGAAAAUCAUUAGGUUUUUUUUUUCUUUUUUCUUUUUUAGGGGAAAACUUCAAAAAAACCCCCCUGUGGUUUCAUGCUUUCUCGCUUUAGUAUCCUGUGGUUUCAUGCUUUCUCGCUUUAGUAUCCUGUGGUUUAAAACGUAUCAAUUUGCCCCCCUGUGGUUUCGUUUUUCUCUUUUUGUUAUCAAUUUUAUUAUUAUUUUUUUCUUAAAUCAGUGACAAAGUUAAAAUUAAAGGAUACUAAAGUGAAUAUUCGAUAAACAUAGAUGGUUAUCUGAAGUUUUUUGUAUAUAAUUUAACGAAAUAUUAACGAAAAAGCUUCCGAAAAAAUAAAAAUGAAACCACAGAGAGGCAAAUUGAUACGUUUUAAACCACAGGGUACUAAAGUAAGAAUGCACGAAACUACAGGGGGGUUUUUGAAGUUUUCCCUUUUUUUCUUUAACACCACCAACCACAAGAGAUCUUAUACUCUGACAGAUGAUGACGUCAUCGUUACGUUUGUCCAUCCUAUCACAUCUUGCCACGUGUGUUGAAAAACACGGUUCCUUUUUUUUUUUUUUUUUUUUUUUUGAGGGUACACAAGAGUGGGCCCCGCACUCCUUGCCCUAACGAGGACCAAAGUGUGAAUAUGUGCUAGGCGGAAUCAAAAAAUAAUAAUAAUAAUAAUAAUAAUACUUUAAUAUAUUAUGUAAAUGUUAAUUAUUUAUUUUUGUAAAUAUAUAGAUGAUUAAAAUGUAAUAUGAUUUUACAGGCGACCUACUAUUCAGGUAUAAAUAUCAUUCACCAUGUACUUAUUUAAAAAGGGUAUAUAUUUUGAUCUUAAAAAAAAUAUUUUGGUCUACAAAAUCGGUUUUAUCAAACUACGAAUACUAUAACCUUCUCAAAUACCUACAACAAUAGUUGAAAUUCAAAUUACAACUAAACUGUAAAUUUUAUGUAAAGCAACAUAAAAAAUUUAAUUAUAAAUCAACUUCAACUUUUAAAUAUAAAACACAAAUUUAAAAUAAAACUUUCUUUUCAAAUUCAAAAUUUUAAGUAAUUUAAAUCAAAAAUUAAAAUUUAGCUUUCAAAUUAAAAGUACAAUGUAGAUUCAAAAUUUAAAAUUUUAAUAUAAAUUUUUGAAAUUAAAAUUUGACAUUACAAUACCAACUUCAAAACUUAACUUUAAAUUCAAUAUUUUUUUUUUUGAGUUGGAUACUGAACAAAUUAGGUAUUCUCUAAUUUGGUAAGUAACAAAACUAAAUAAAAUACUUAAUAUUAUAGGAUGCUAACAAAUUUAGUAUAUACUACUAAUUUUUUUUUCAAUAUGAUAUCCGUAACUUGUUCAAUAGGUUACUUUAUGUAAAAUCCAACUAUAUCCUUUACUAAUUAAGAAUUUGAUUUUAAUACUUAAUUAUGGUGUACCGAAGCAUUGCUGAAAAAAAAAAAUCUAUAAUUCAAAAAAAUAACAUAACUAAUUAAAUCUCUUUAUUAAAAAAAAAAUAAUUAAAAAUAAUUUAACGGCUCCUAAACUUCCGUAAGUAUACUAAACUAAUCCAUUUAGUCAUUAAUUUGAUGUGAUUGGCAAAAAUGACGUGUGGCACGAGAUUAGUAUUUUUUUUUGCGAAAACCUUUAAAAGUCAAGUGUUAUUUUAACCUGAAAACCAUAUAAAUUAUUAAAAUAAGCUGUGAUUAAUUUGGAAAUCAAAAAAAGUAGUCCCAUCUUAUCAAACUAAUGGUAAGUUUUUAAUUCGUGUCUUUAGUUCAUAAAUUGUGACAAUGUGCUUGAGAGUUACAUACUUUGGAUGCUUCUAGAGAAAUUUUUGAGCUAUUUAUUCUUUUUUUUUUAGAAAAAAUUUCAAAUAUUAUCCAUGUGGUUUCACACUUUCUCACUUUAUUAAUAUCUCAUGAUUUAAAGUGUAUAAAUUUAGAGUCCUGUGGUUUCAUUUUUAUCCUUUUAUUAUCGAUUUCAUUAAUUUUUUUCGUUAAACCAAUGACAAAGUUAAAACUAAAGGGUACUAAAGUGAAUAUUCAAUAAACCUAGGUGGAGUAUCUGGAGUGUUUUGUAUAUAAUUUAACAAAAUAUUAAUGGAGAAACCGACAAAAAGAUAAAAAUAAAAUCACAUGACACUAAUUUAAUACACUUUAAACCAUAAGGUACUAAAGUGAGAAAGUGCAAAACCACAGGGAUAGCAUCUGAAGUUUACCCUUUUUUUAUAUAUAAUAGAAAACUUUCUCAUGGAGCGUGGUACCUGAGACCCAAGUUGGAAUCCUAAUUGAUUUAUAUUCACAGCUAAGUUUAUUUCUAAAUAAAAUAAAUGAAGCGGGUAGCGUGCUACCUAUCUCUCUCAAAAAAAAAAAAAAAGAAAACUCUCUCAUUGGCUUAGUGAAUCCCAAAAAUGGGCCCACCAAAUCUAUCUGGUUUGCUACUUUGACUAAGCCACAAUUAAACAAGUUAAAUUAGUCAUACACCAUUAAGUUGAUAUAUAUAUAUAUAGAGAGAGAGGGUGCAUGCACCUGAUGUCAAUAUCGGGGUGAGGUGAAGGAUGCACAAUCAAACUAUUCUGUAAAGACUCUGUGAAUGUUGCGGUUUUAUUUGUGUCCUUAUCUAUGUCAAAUAUCUAAAACCAUGAUUAAAAUAUGGUCGCCGCACAAGUAUAAAUGAUAAAUGCCUUGGUAUUUUAUACCUUUUCUUAUACGGUCACAACAUAAAUGCAUAAGUAAUGGGUUUUUCAAACAAUAACAAUUCUCAAACUACUAAUUAGAAAUUGUAGAUCAUAUCUAACGAGCAAUAUAUUUAGGUUUAAUUAAUUAAGGCCUCUGGAAAUCGAGUUUUGGCGUCGCCGGUCUAUGGACCGCGGUCCAUCGAAUAAUCUCUUAUGUUUUAGACAAUGAAUAUUAAAAAAAAAAGAAAAAAGGAAAGGGCCAAAAAAAAAAUGUCCUUAUCAACAAAAACUAAUAUUUCUUUGCUACACCAAACCAUAAAUAAUAACCCUCAUAGAGGUAGCUUCUGAAACCUAACAAAUGCAUAUUCAAUUGUAACACGCAAGUUUAAUAAUAAUGAUAAUAAUAAUAGUACUAAAAUAAGAAUAAAAUCAAAAUUAUUAUAAGAAAACACCUUCCAAUAAUUUUUGAUUUUUUUUUUACAAAAAAGGAGAGAGGCCCAAUUCAUGCUUUGUAUAAUUAACCCCUUUGACAUUUGUGACAACAAAAGGAAUGAAAAAAUAUAUAUACAAGAAUAAUUAUUUAACAUAUUAAAUAUAUAUUCAAAUACAUAAGCUUAGCUUUCAUGCAUGUGUUACAUAUUCCAAAAUUGACCCUAUAAUUAUUAAUUAAAAUAUUAGGGGGUGAAUAAAUUAACUUAUAAGGUAAAAAUGUAUGGAGAACCCCUCGAAUAUACGCUAUUUCAAAAUAGUCCCCGCAACUUUAAUUCUUUUUCUUAUUGGCACUUCUUUGACUUCUUUUUUUCGGGGUUAUUAAAAUACAAUAAAAAUAUCUUAAAAUACCGUAACUUAUUACGCCGCAAUAAAAUUUAAAAGUAUUCGAAAAGAUACAUACUUUAGUUGAAUAUUUUGUUAAAUUAAAAUGGCCGUAUUAGCUACUAACCAUUAAUUGUUUUAACCUUAAAAAUAUGUCAACAAAAAAAAAAAAAAAAAUUUAAAUUAAGGGGGUUAUUUCUGAGUAUAUUAUAGUUGAGUGGUGUCUCCACACAUUUUAACCUAAAUCUCAGCCACAAACAUCUCAAAUUUCAAAUCACUGUUCUCAAUUCUAUGUGUCAGUGUCACCAGUUUAUUACUUUCCUUGUUUUGUUUUGGAGAAUAAAUAUUUUUGUGGAAUUAUUUAUUCAGUCCUUGUUGCUUGGCCCACAAAUAUUUGUCUUAAAAGUUUAUAUAUAAUUUUUUUUGAAAAAGUAAAUGGAUUAGGUAGGUAUCAAGACUCUGGAACAUGUGACAAACUUGUUCAAAGAUUUUAGUUUAUUUUAAUUUUUUUUUUGGAGAGAGAGAGAGAGAGAGAGAGAGAGAGUUUAUACCAAUGGUUUUAAGCAUUCAUCAACACAGAUUAUAUCCACCGUGUCAUAUCGUGCUAACGAGGUAUCAGCACAGUACAAUCCCCGUGUCGAUAACAUAACUCAAAACUCUUUAUUCUUUAAAUUAGUAAAUAAUUUUUUCAAUAAAGUAAAAAAAAAUUGAUAAAGAAACAUACUAAACGGUUAGAAUAUUUUAUUGCUGAAGAAAAUAUAUAUUCCAUGCCAUUAUAUAUCGGCACAUAUUUUUUUUUAUGACUGACAAGCAUCGCACGGUCCGAUAUGCACUAUGUCGGCAAGUUUCGGACACAAUCCCGCGCCACGAUACUUAAAUCCUUGGCUUAUACCCACUUCUUUUUGAGAAUUGAGAAUAAAAUAAAUAGUUAACAAAAGUGGGGGUAUUAAUGUGGUAUCAUUAGAUAGGAAGGAACAGUGUUAAAUAAGAUCCUCAUUUAGUAUUAGAUUAAAGAGGAAAAACAAAAAAAAAAUAUAGAACUACCAUGCAAACCAAGCAUUUGGUAAUGUAGCUGGAAAUAAAACUCAACAGAUGAAAAUUGCAACUGUGAGAAGGUUAUGGGCUUGGGCCUCGACGAAUCCUCGAAUUUCAAACCAAGGUCUAGUUAGAUUAGCACCACCCGACGGAUCUUCUGUUUGGUUGCAUACAGUUACAACUGUACCGGAAUACCACGAUUAGUUCGAUAUACUCGGAUCGAACCGCUGUAGCUGAAGCUGCACAGAGGGACAUUUAACUGCAGCAUUUGGAACUACUCUCAACUGCAGCAACUUACACAAUAAGUGAACUUACAUGCCAAAUCAUCUUCUACUUGAGGCACAAGAAGAAAAACUGUUUCUGAUUCAAUUCCAUCAUAUGGCUAAUGAUGUUAGUUCAUGAGAAAAGCAAACAAAAUGGAAGUGGGAAUGAACCAGAGUAUCGAAUUCUGCUAUAACAAGAACAUCACACAAAAAGAAUUUGCCAAGAGAAAAAUCAAAGAUUCCAAUAAAAGAACUUCAUGGAAGCGAAGUUACGAGACUACAGCAUACAAAAGUCUACUCCAUCCGUGAUGAUCGACGAAUGCGACUGCUAAACUGGAAUCAUGAAAUAUCGCACGAUUUAAGAUGAAGUUCCAUAACAUACAAGCUGAAUAGCGGAAGCCUUAAACACCUAACAAAAAGAAGCAUGAAAAUGGCCUAACAAGCAUACUACAGCAUGUCAGCGGAAACUAUGUUACAGUAAUAGAAAGACAGGUUCAUGCCUACCGAUACUAGAUGAUCUACUCAUAGGAUUUAAAUACGAUGCGAGUCGAACAAAAGCAGCACCAUCACAAAUUAACAGAGGAAAGCAGUACAAAGAAACUGAAGAACCAACAAAAAAACAUGAUAACAAAACAAGACAGUCCAACAAGAACAGCAUACUAGUUGACGAGGCGCGGAAUCCCACGGAGACGUAAACAAUACUUGUUUACCGGAACACGGAGCGGAUAUACCUGCUCUCACAACAUGCUAUCGGUUCGCGCGGGCAAUCUCCUGAAGAAGUUGAGCGGAACCGACGGGAGCUUAUGGCGAAACCUCGGAUGUCUUAGCACAUAUAAGCCCGUCAAAAAGGCUACAACACGGAACGGCGUGACGUAGAGCACGAUGGCGGCGAUCAGGCAGAACACGACAAACAGCGCGGUGGCUCGCGGGUCCCGCCAGCUCAAGAGCGACUGCAGCCUCUCUCCCUGCGUAGCCAAAUCGCCCACGACCGUCUGUACUCUCCCCGCGACGCUCCUCAGACGGUCGUACCUCAUCCUGAUGAUAUCGGGUGGCCGAGAUGUCGGGAAAGUGUCGAAUUCCUCAUCGAGCUCAUCUGGGUGGGCGGUCUCCGCGUGGGAGAGACGCGUGUCCAUGUGGGGCGGCUGCCUCGGCCUCCAUCUGUAGUACCAAACCCCGAUCAAGAAGAGGUAGAGAAAGAUCGUCGGGAGAAUCAGUUCGGGGUACAAAACCAAUAUCACAAAGAGGAUGUGGAUUAGUAUUGUAGUCAAAGGGUUUUUCCAGUGGCAAAUCUGAUCAAACCAUUUCCCCACGGCGAUCAAAGGGCCCAACACGCCCAUGAUUCUGAAGAAGUUGGCUUUACUCUUUCGCAUGCUCCACAUGUGUGAAUCCACGUCGAGCAUAUACUCCACUACCUCCUUUCUCAGAGGUGGCUCAGCACGGCCUAGCCUCAUCGAGACUAUCUGAAUGGCCUGGUGCCUCAGAUUAUCAAGCUGCAUCACGGACAGAGGGUGAAGGUAAUGCAUCUUCGGCAGCAACGGCUGGGAGUACAGGUGCAACAUGUUGAGGAGAGAGGAGCACGUGAAUCGGACGGCCAAUUGAACCUCUCCCAUCUUCUUCACUCCCGAAGGAAGUAACACGAUGAGAGGGUAAGAAUGGGUGUAAACCCGAUCUGUCUCGAGAGUAGAGAGACGGAUCCGCACCUUCCCGAUUCUAUUAUCCCGCGCACCCGCCGCCUUCUCGCCCCCUUGUAAGUGACAGUUGUCGAACACUCCGAUCGUUAUAACAGUACACGGAUCGUAGACCUCCCACGUGUACUGCUCGUUCCAUUUGGGAGUGAAACUAUCUAUGAUGGUUCUCGUGCGGACCCAUUUCUGCCCGUAUUUGGCAACACAAUAAGCAUCUGUCGUCCCACGCCCAUCUUUAGUCUUCAUCGGCAGCAACCCCUGAGCACUCAAAAUACCCAAUUCGAGAACUCCGAUGCUCUGCUUCCACAACUGUUUCGCGGUGGGUCUUAGGUCGCUGCUAUAGUGAGUUGACUCAUCCAAUACAUGGUACCCGCCUUCUAAGCAAAUUCGCACAUGAAUCCGGCUAGAAAACUUGGUGUCCUUCUUCUGCUCGCCAUCGACUGUCACAUGCUUUUCAAGAUUGUACCACCGGGUGUUUACGGCCUUAUAAUCAAGCCUUCUGUCCACAUUUUGCAACGGGAUGAUUGCCUUCCCCAAUACCUCGUCCUUGUUGGGUGCGACCCGAUCCUCUACGCUUAGAACCAGGUGCUCCUCAAACGGCUCGGCCGCCACGAACAUCAAAUCCUCGUUCCACAUCGGAUUAAUCGUCCUGCUCGGAGAUACACGGGUCCUAAGAGCUUGGUUCCCUAAUAUGGCCUUAACAUAGACUUCGGGGAACCGGCUCUUAUCGCUAGGUUGAAGAUCCUGGGCUUCGAUAAUAUUAACACGCACGUACCAGAGCUUAGGAGUGAGAUACACCUUCGACCUAAUAUUCGCGAGGCCGUCGCUGGGGACGGUCGCGGCGUCAGAAUGCCAGGCAUCAGGAAAAGCCUCGUCGGCCUGAGUCCCCCACCAAACAGCCAGCAUGAGCUCCCCCUUCACCUUAUCCCCCUUCCGGUCCUCCAACCGGUACCACUGGGGGGCCAACGGGCUGUCGGGCGGGACCCGCUUAGGGAUCUCAGUGAGGUCGAAAACCACCCGCCCGAUAAUGUCGUCCUUCACGAAAUCCUUGUCCUUGACCACGACUUCCAAGUGCGACGCCUGAAUCCGCUCUUUCGAGAAAGCGAAGACUUGGUUCCAUUCGGGGUUGGUCUUCUUCUCGAAAUGGCGGGUGGUUCCCUUGUAGUUGCCGAGCUUGACCUCGACGAAGGGGUCGCAGCUGCCCGUCACGUCCUUCGUGGGCAGGUCUUUGGCCUUCACGACCCGAACGUAGAGAUACUGCAUCUGCUCAACGAGAUCAUAGGUGGUCGUGAGCUUGUCGCCCGCGGCCCCACCGCCGCCGAGGUGCGGGGUGGUCUCCUUCAAGGAGUACUCCUCGGGACGAGGCGGCACUACUACUCUCUGCAUCUUCUCCUCAAACUGUCGCGAAACCUUCGAUUCUACGACAAAUCACUGCAACAAAGGCAAGCAUAUAAAAAUAUUCUUCAGAUUCAACAAAUUAGCUCUGUUUCAACAGGUUAAAAAGUAUUCAAAAAAAAAAAAGAGAGCAAAAAACAGCAAAAUGUAUAAUAUCACACAAUGACAAGCAUAAUAAAAAUCAAAGAGAAGUGAUUGGUAGUUACAUAUUAAUAUAAUCAAAAAGAGAAUAGUGAACACCUCAUUGGGCUAAUAAAAAAAUGCGAAGAAAAAAGUAAGCUGUAAAAUUACUAUGCAAUCAAAUGCCUCUACUGUGAAAUUAGUACAAGUUACAGCUACAAUAGAUCUGUUCCUAAUAUUCAAAAAGUUAAAGGGGAUAAAAACGAAAUCGAAGCCGAGAUCUCCGGCGAUUGUUGUUAGUAAUCUGAAACCCUAGACAACAGUGAACAACGGCGCAUUUUGUUUUGAUUCAUUAAACCAAAGCAAGAGAAUGUGAAACCUACAUUUUACAUCAAAAAAAUCACAGUUAAAAAAAAAAAAAAAAAAAAAAAAAACUAAAAAACUUACAUAGAUCGCUCCCAUUUUGCACUAAAACAAACCCUAACACUUCAAAAAUAAACCACUUUUUUUGGUCUAAAAAGUUAAAGGAAAACUAGUGAGAGAACACGAGAGAAGAGAUUUGCACACACAUUACCCGAAGCUACAAACCCUACACCAUUUUUAGGUCGAUCUAGCACUAACAAUCCAAACCCUAGACGCCAAAAACGACUCCUCUUUUACUUCAAAUAGCCACUACAACUACAUUGAACCCUUCCUCCUUCCCCAAAAUCCCCAACAAAGCCACGAAACCCUAAUCCGAACCAAAAAAUCUCGGAUCUAGGUCGAAUAUUCUCCACGCAAAAAAUAAACACAAACAAAAAACGCAGCAAAUGCCACACAAAAAAAAAAAAAGAAAAGAAAAAGAAAAAGGUUGGUACCUCGAUCGAUCGAAGGAGGUGAAACCCUAGCUGCGAGUGCGGCGGAGAAGGAUCCCGGAGCUUCUUCAUCUAUCCAUCCAUGGCGAAUAUAUUUCGGAAAACCCCCUCAAAUUCUCGAAAUUUCCUUUUCUCGCUUUUUUUUUUUUUUUACACUACCCAAAAAAAAAGUAGCUAUAGAGAGAGAGAGAGAGAGAGAGAGAGAGAGUGUUUGUGAUAUUAUUGAGAUGUGAACACCCAAAUCCCCACUACCUAAUUAUUAUUCUCAUCUAUUAUUAUUUAUUUAUUUUUAUUUUCUUUUUUACUUUUUCCCUUUUUCUAAUUAUUAUUUCUUUUUUAACUAAAUCCACCGGUGUUUUCGACACCUAAAGUGGACUCUCCAUUCCGCAAGUGGGCCCCACAAAUUAAUAUACGAUAUAAUAAUUUAUUUAUAAUAAUAAUAUGUAAAAAAUUUAUGUAUGAAAUAUAAAUUUAUAAAUUGUUAGAAUAAAUAAAAUGUAAGUUUAAAAUGUAUGUAUUUAUUAUUAUUAAAUUAAAUCUUAAUUUUGAGAUAAGGGAGAGGUGGGUGGUGUGUGGGGGGUUUUAAAGCGUGGGUGCGUUUUUGUGGUGGGUUUUAUUAAGAGGAGUUUUUUUUUUUCCUUUUUUUGAAAAAAAUAAAAUCCUUUCCUUAAAUUAUGGCAUUGGGAGGGGCCGCGUGUGGUGUGGAACCCGAGGUGGUGGUCGCGACCGCGGUCGGGGUCUGGUCCAGGUCAAGUCGCACGUGCGAGGGGCAUUUUUGUCCAUGUCAGCUAAUAUAUAUCUAUACUAUAUAUAAAGCACGUAUAUUCAAAUUUGAGUCCGUCGACAGACCUAUUUUUCGGCAGAAAAAUUAGCGCCCAUUUUUUUCUUUUCAUACGAAAAAUUUUAAAUAUAAGAAUAAAAAUAGAAAUAGAAACAACAAUAAAUACGUAAGUUCUCUAUAACAGAUUAUUAAUGUGAAAAUUCUAAAAUAUAAAUUUUUUUAUUUAAUUUCAAAAGUAAGUUUUCUAUAACAGAUUAUGGGUGUGAAAAUCCUAUAAAAGAUAUUUUCCUAUUUUAUUUUAAAAUAUCUUUUUUAGAUAUUAUCUAUUUAAUUUCAAAAUAUAUUUUCUUUUUAAGAUAACGGAUUUUAUUUUUCUAUUUAAUUUCAAAAAUUUAUUUCCUAACAGAUUUUAUUUUUCUAUUUAAUUUCAAAAGUUACUUUUGCAUUAGAGAUUAUUGUUUAAUUAUUUAUCAUUUAAAAUAUAUCUCUUAAUACGUGAUUUAUUACUUUAAAUUUUUUAGAUACAUAUUUGGCAAUCAUAUAAUAUGACCUAAAAUUAAAAAAUAAUUUAAAAAAAUUAUAACUUUUCUAAUAAUUAUUAUGUACAUUUGCACGUACAUUUACUAGUAUAUUAUAUUAUAUAUAUAUAUAUAAUAUAUAUUAUAUAUAUAUAUAUAUAUAUAUAUAUAUAUAUAUAUAUAAUUUACUCUAUAUGAAUCCUCAAUAAAAUUGAUGACAUGGCAAGCCCUCCUUUUUUUUUAAUUUUAAUAUUUUUAUAUUUUUUAAUGGUGGUUCAUUUUUUUAUUCUACAUUUAAUGUAUUAAUAGUUAUAACUCCAUUAAUACUCACCUCUUAAUUACUCUUUAAUUUUAUUUAUAUCCAUAUAAAUUUUUUAAUAGUUCAUAUUUUUACUAUCUUAUUAUAUUUAAUGUUGCUAAUGAUAGCUACAUAUUACAUGCAUAUGUUUUCUUCCUAAUUAAUUAAAUAAAUACUAUACUUUAUGUGACAAAUUAAUAUGUGGUAGUAAAUAUAGCUUCUCCAAGCUUGAUAAACCCCAAACCCCACAUCAGUGAUCUCUCUGUCGAGCUCUCCGCUCUCCUUCCCAAAUCCUAAAACCCCAACCUUUCCUCUCCUCUGCACCCUCCCUCGCCGCCGCCUCCCGAUCAGCGCGCCUCCUCUCCACCGCCCCGCCCGCCGCCGUCCAGCGCGGCGGUGGCCAUCUAGAAGGAGACCCCGGAGGAGGAGCGGCCGGAGACCUCCCCACAUGGCGGACUCGCUAUCGCCAUGUCCGUGGGCGGCGGUUCGAGCGGAUGAUCCGCGAGGCCCUUGACGAGGUGUGCGCGCGCGCUCAAGGCCGUGGACGGGGCGCCGCGUUCAAGGAGGAUGUGUGGUCGCGCCAUUUACAACAAUUUCAAACUCUUAUACGACCCCACUCCUACCCUCGAUNNNNNNNNNNNNNNNNNNNNNNNNNNNNNNNNNNNNNNNNNNNNNNNNNNNNNNNNNNNNNNNNNNNNNNNNNNNNNNNNNNNNNNNNNNNNNNNNNNNNNNNNNNNNNNNNNNNNNNNNNNNNNNNNNNNNNNNNNNNNNNNNNNNNNNNNNNNNNNNNNNNNNNNNNNNNNNNNNNNNNNNNNNNNNNNNNNNNNNNNNNNNNNNNNNNNNNNNNNNNNNNNNNNNNNNNNNNNNNNNNNNNNNNNNNNNNNNNNNNNNNNNNNNNNNNNNNNNNNNNNNNNNNNNNNNNNNNNNNNNNNNNNNNNNNNNNNNNNNNNNNNNNNNNNNNNNNNNNNNNNNNNNNNNNNNNNNNNNNNNNNNNNNNNNNNNNNNNNNNNNNNNNNNNNNNNNNNNNNNNNNNNNNNNNNNNNNNNNNNNNNNNNNNNNNNNNNNNNNNNNNNNNNNNNNNNNNNNNNNNNNNNNNNNNNNNNNNNNNNNNNNNNNNNNNNNNNNNNNNNNNNNNNNNNNNNNNNNNNNNNNNNNNNNNNNNNNNNNNNNNNNNNNNNNNNNNNNNNNNNNNNNNNNNNNNNNNNNNNNNNNNNNNNNNNNNNNNNNNNNNNNNNNNNNNNNNNNNNNNNNNNNNNNNNNNNNNNNNNNNNNNNNNNNNNNNNNNNNNNNNNNNNNNNNNNNNNNNNNNNNNNNNNNNNNNNNNNNNNNNNNNNNNNNNNNNNNNNNNNNNNNNNNNNNNNNNNNNNNNNNNNNNNNNNNNNNNNNNNNNNNNNNNNNNNNNNNNNNNNNNNNNNNNNNNNNNNNNNNNNNNNNNNNNNNNNNNNNNNNNAGAGAGAGAGAGAGAGAGAGAGAGAGAGAGAGAGAGAGCUAGGCUGGUAUACUAUUGGUAGCACGGAGGCCUCCGUGCUACCAAGUUGUUUUCGAUGAUGUGGCUUCCAAAUCGACGAUCGGCUCCGUUAGACUUGAUCUAUACUAUUAAAAAUAUUUGGAAACUAAAUUUCAUAAUUUUUUAACAUCAUUUGGCUAGUGAUCAAAAGGUCUCAAAAUUGACAAUUUUAAUGGUAGAUGUGAUGCGUUUGUGAAUUUAACGGUGUAAAACAAUCCAAAUCUGAUAAAAUUUUUAUAGAAAAUUCUUUUCACUAUUUAAAGUAAGAUCAAUACCUCUGAUCUUAAAUUCAAGUCUUUUAUCAUCAUUUUUUAUGAGAUUUUUAUUUUCAGUCGUUCAUUUUUAAACUACUUGUUUGAUAGGUAAAUGAUACCAAAAAAUUAAAAAAUUUAGUUUCCAAAUACUUUUUAUAGUGUGGAUCAAGUUUAAUGGAGCCGAUCGUCAAUUUGGAAGCCACAUCAUUGAAAACAAUUUGGUAGUACAGAGGCCUCCGUACUACUGAUAGUAUACCAGCCUAACUCUCUCUCUCUCUCUCUCUCUCUCUCUCUCUCUCUAUAGAUAUAUAUAUAUAUAUAUAUAUAUAUAUAUAUUAGAGAGAGAGAGAGAGAGAUAAGAGAGUAAGCGAGCUACUAGCUAUCUGGAACACGAGCCUUCCGUACGCUCCGGAGCCGUCAUUUUGCUUGCUCGCAUUUUUGAAUCAUCGAUCGGAGUCCUCGUAAACUUAAAAUCUAGAGUACCACUUUGAUACCUAGAAAUAAAAUUUAAGUGAAUUACGAACUAUUGCCUAGUUGAACAGGGCUCAAAAUCAACAGCUUGAAAAAAAAUCUUAUAAAACAAUGUAAUAAUAACAAUUAAAUUUUAAAUCAAAGGAUUAGAUCAUAUUUAUAUAGUAUAAAAGAAUUUCUAUCAUAAAAUGUCAUGGAUUAUGGAUAUUUCUAACACACGUUAAUACUUGAACGAUCAUACGGACAUGUGAAAUUUUGUUGAUUUUGAGGCCCAUUCGAUCACAUUAGGCAAAUGACUUCUGAGAAAAAUAAUAAAUUUAUUUCUAGGCUACUGCUCAAAUACUCUAGAUCAAGUAACGAAGUCCGAUCUACGAAUUUGAUAAGCGCAAACAGCUGAAAACGACUGAAGCACAAGAACUACCGUGCUUUCGAUAGCAAGUAAGUCCUUACUAUAAUUAUACUCAUAUAUAUAAUUAUAUAUAUAUAUAGUAUAUAUAUUAAAUAUUAUAUAUGUACGAUGAUAUAUGGAUAUAUAAAUAUAUAACAAUAUAUAUAUAUCACGAUAUAUAUUAUAAGAUUAGGCUGUAUCCACCAUUAAUCAGUGAAAUGCCUUUCGGCUAUCAAUUGUUAACCUGGAUGAAAAAAAUUGGGUCUAAUUAUAUUGGUUAGAGUUUGAGGGUCCCCCUAGUGGUUGAGUGGUCGCCACUGUGGGUUAUAGUAUUCAAUCCAAUGUGAGAGAAAAUGAAAAGAGUUGAUCCAAAGCCUAAAAAACUGGUAGCAACAAUGGUAUUUUGCUACAAAGUAGUAGCCCAGCCAACCUCUCCUCUUCUCCUUCUCUCGCUCGCUCGAUCAUCUCUCCUCUCCUCUCAUCUCAUCUUCUAUUAUUAUAUAUUAUUCUAAUAUAUUUUAUCAUAAAAUAUUAUGAGUUGAGCUGGAAUACUAUCGGUAGCAAACGAGCUCCGUUGCCACCCAUUUGUUUUCGAUGAUGGAGCCUCCAAAUCGACGAUCGGCACCAUUGAAAAUGAUCUAUACCACUUGAAGUAUCUAGAAAUCAAAUUUCAUACUUUUCCCAUAAUAUUUUGACUUCGUUUGCCAAGUCAACGAGUAGCCUAAAAAUAAACGGCUGAAAAUAAAAAUCCUCAUAAAAAACAGUGAUAAAAGACUCAAAUUUCAAAUCAUGAUCAAGAGUAUAGAUCUUGCUAUAAAUAGUUUAAGUAGAAUUUUCUAACAAAAAUUCAAGUAAUUUGGAUACCUUUACACCGUAAAACGAAAAAACCCACCACAUCAACCAUUAAAAUUACUCAAUUUUGAAACCCUGUGAUCACUAGGUAAAUGAUGUCGAAAAGAUUAUAAAAUUUAAUUUCUAAAUACUUCAAAUAACAUAGAUCAUACCCAACGGAGCCGAUCGUCGAAUUGAAAGCCCCAUCAUAGAAAACAAUUUACAAGUGGCAACGGAGGCCUCCGUUUACUACCGAAAGCAUGCCAGCUCAACUCUCACUCUCUCUCUCUCUCUCUCUCUCUCUCUCUCUCUCUCUCUCUCUCUAUAUAUAUAUAUAUUGUGGGCUGGUAUGCUUCUGGAAGCACGGAGCACUCCGUGCUUCCAAGUUGUUUUCGAUGUUCGGACUUUCGAAUCGACAAUUGGCUCCGUUAGAGUUGAUCUAGAGUACUUGGAGUACUUAGAAAAUAAAUUUUGUGAUUUUUCGAUAUCAUUUGCCUAGUGAUCGAAGGGGCUCAAAAUCAAUAAUUUUAAUGACCGUGGUGAGUCGUUUGCAAGUUUAAUGGUGUAAAAAUAUCCAAAUCAUAUGAAAUUUUGAUAGAAAAUUCUUUAUAUCAUAUAAAACAAGAUCAAUAACUUUGAUCUAAAAUUUUAAUGUCAUAUCAUCAUAUUUUGUAACAUUUUUAUUUUCAGCCGUUGAUUUUGAGCCACUUCGAUUACUAGGCAAAUGGUAUCGAAAAAUCGCAAAAUUUAUUUUCUAGAUACUUCAAAUACUCUAGAUCAAGUCUAACGGAGCCGAUCGUCGAUUCGAAAGUCCGAACAUCGAAAACAACUUGGAAGCACGAAGCACUCCGUGCUUUCAGAAGCAUACCAGACGCACUAUAUAUAUAUAGAGAGAGAGAAAGAAAAAGAGAGAGAGAGAGAGAGAGUACGUCUCCCAUGCUUUCGAAAGUACGGAGGCCUCCGUACUUGUAAAUUGUUUUCUAUGAUAGGACAUCCAAUUCGACAAUCGGCUCCGUUAGGUAUAAUCUAUGCUAUUGGAACUAUCUAGAAACCAAAUUUUAUAAUUUUUCGACAUCAUUUACCAAGCAAUCACAGGGUCUCAAAAAUGACUAUUUUAACGGCCGAUGUGGUACGUUUUUAAGUUCAACGGCGUAAAAGUAUCCAAAUUACAUGAAACUUUAAUAGAAAAUUCUACUUAACAUCUAUAGCAAGAACAAAACUUUCGAUUUGAAAUUUGAGUCAUUUAUCACUGUUUUUUAUGAGAUUUUUAUUUUCAGCCGUUUAUUUUGAGGCUACUCGUUCACUUGGCAAACGAAGUCAAAAAAUUAUGAAAUUUGGUUUCUAGAUAGUUUCAAUAGGGUAGAUCAUAUUUAACGGAACCGAUCGCCGAAUCGGACGUCCCAUCAUUGAAAAUAACUUACAAGUAAGGAGGCCUUCGUAUUUUCGAAAGCAUAGGAGCCUAGCUCUCUCUCUCUCUCGCUAUAUAUAUAUAGAGUAGGGCUACUAUACUAUUAUGAGUAUUGGGCCCUUCGUACUCAUAAAUUAUUUUUGAUGAUGGAGUUUCCGAAUUGAUGAUCCACUCCGUUAAAUAUGAUUUAGAGUAUUUGAAACUUCUAAAAAAUAAAUUUCGUAAUUUUUCAAAAUCAUAAUAAAAUCCAUCAAGUGGGCAUAAAAUGAACGGUCAAAAUCGAACGUUGUCUUAAAAAUGGAUAAUCAGAUCCUUCAAUUUAAGAUCAGAGUUAUUGAUCUUUAUCUAGGUAGUGAAUAGAAUUUUCUAUCAAAAAUUCAACCUAUUCGAAUUCUUUUGCACCAUUAAACUAGCAAGUAUUCCAUACCGACCGUUAAAAAUUGUCAAUUUUGUGAACUUUUGAUCGUAAGGUAAAUGAUUGUCGAAAAAUUAUGAAAUUUGAUUUCUAGAUAUUUUAAAUGCUCCAGAUAACGUUUAACGGUGUGGAUCGUUGAUUCGGAAACUCUAUCAUCGAAAAUAAUUUAUGAGUACGAGGGUGAUCAUACUCAUAAUAGAAUAGUAGCCGGACUCUAUAUAUAUAUAUAUAUAUAUAUAUAUAUAUAGAGAGAGAGAGAGAGAGAGAG
rnacentral:lncRNA from 1 species